rnacentral:lncRNA from 1 species
UUAUGAAAUAUUCUUUUCAAUGAUCUAGGAAAAUGAGAUGAUGAUGAAAAUUGACAAUGAAAGUUAAACUAAGGUACAUCCAUAGGGUCUAUAAAAUUGCAAUAAAAUAAAUGAAUCUAACAUUAUUAAUCUAAAUAAAUGCAAAAAUACCGAAAUCCAUUAAGCUUGAAGUAUCAAAAGGCUUGCCAAAAUCCUCAUGUUGCAUUUGCAGGGUUAUGCAAUCCACAACAUAGAUAAGAUGACAAGCACUAGAAAUGUUGUUUCUUACUAUCCUUAACAGGAAACCGGGAGAGAGAGUAUUCAAAGGGAGAGUAAAACUUUACACAAUUUGAAAUAUUUUUCAUCCAAGACCCUAUUCUUAUAGGUAACUUUGUUUUAGUUUAUGUCAAACCCCACCAACUCCUUUGCCACCAAAGCCAAGCCUCAAGGACAUGUUUUAUCCAAAACCUAAAAGGAUUUCUUCGGCUCUGAGCCUCUGCUUCUGAGUACAGUUAAUAAUCCAUAAAUCAUCAGAAUUCAACUCAACUAAAAAUGAAAAGCCUUACAUUAUGACUCAAAAAUAUGGGCUAGAGAUUAUAUUCAAGAUCAUUACAACCUUCUGUUCAUAGUAGGUUUUUUGACCUUUAGUUUUAUUGUUAUAAUUGUCCAGACAGCAUAAUCAUACUUUUUCCAUUUUGAAUAUCUUCUAGCAUAAAUCUAAGGAUCUGGAGAGAGAGAAAACUUUAUCUUUUGUAGCCCGUCCUCACAUCUUCUCUCUCCUCCAGUUUCUUACUAAAACUAAUCACUUAUAAAUCCAACUUGCGAUCUGUAAGAACCAUUAAUCAGAUAUCAAAAACAUUGAGCCAAAACAAGUUGAUAUGGUUGCUGAAGUCAGCAUCCAUGUAACUGAUGUAAGCUACUGCAGUCCUAAUUCCCCAAACCGAUCCCCCAAAAACCACUGGAUUCGUCUUCCUGCAUGGAUCUCACUGAUUCAAGUUCUUCUAGUCAGGUUCUUCUUUGGCUAGGAGUAAUGGAGUCACUCUAAGCAAUCUCUUGAUUCAGCCCUUCCAGAGGUUCUUCUGGAUCCAAUCAACACAGAGAGAUGUUUGCCCAAAUCCCAUCAUUCCUUAUGUUUUCUUUUUGGAGGAGGAAGAUGGUUUUAUGGAUCUUUUGCUGAUUAAAGACAUUGGUUUUAAUGUUUUUUCUUUUUUUUUUCCUUUUCUUUUUUCUUUUUUUUUUUUUGGUGUGGAAGCUUGGUUUCUUGAUGCCUUACUAGUUAUUUGGUAGUGCGUGCUUUUAUCAUGAUUGUAUUUUGGGUGUUUGUGAGAAGUUAGCCAAACAUUUGCGGAGAAAGUACUGUCUAGAAAAUCCAUUUAUUAGUUCCUCUCCAACUCAAAAAGACUAUAAAUGCAAUCAGCCUGCUCCUAACUGAAAGUAGCAUCUAUGGGUGUAUAUUUCUUUGAGUCAGUUUAUAUCUUUCCUUUUGGAAGGCGGCUUUUUACAGGAAUUAUGUUGUUAGCUAACAACAUCAACAGUCCACAACAAUGUUCUUGGGCAAGGCAAUAUGAAGUCAGGGUAUAAGUAGAGUCAAGCAGAUUAUGCCCUGUCUGUGAGUGCUUUGCAUGGAAGAUUACUACUCUUAUCAUGAAUGUGGAUGACAUUGUUAUGUAGAGAAUGAUGAUGUUGAAAUGGGAAAUUGACCAAGAAGUUUGAGAUUAAGGAUAUGGGAAGUUUUUUAUACUUACUCAAGAAGGUUAAAGGGUCUAAGAAAGACAUAUUUGUCUUGUGCACAAAUUUUCUAUUAGACACUUAAAAAGUGGGCACGAAUAUGCUAAGAUGCAUGCCUUUCAAUAACAGGAUCAUUUACAAUUACCAUUUGUAUGAAGGCAUAGAGAUAACCUCUUGAUAAUUCAAGACAAUGCUAGAGGCUCAUGGAAAAGGGUUAAGUUGUGUGAAGUCUAAUUUUUAUUUAAAGGGUAUUUUAGUAAUUCUAGACAUGUAUUUGUUUGCCCUAACUUUCUCAUUAUAUAAGGGAUUAUUAGGAUGACCCUUUUUAGGGUAGGGGUGUGUGAUAAUAGAGGAGUGGUACUAGGCCUAAGAUCAUCUUGUAUUUGGCUUUCUGAUCAUAGUGGAAAUUUUGCAACAGCAAAAUAGAUGUAGCUCUCACAUUGAGUGAACCACUAUAAAUCUUGUGUAUUUUCUGUUUUUAUGUGUUAUUGGUCUCGUAAAUAGGGAUUUUACCUUAAUAAAAAGUUGAUCUAUCUCGCUAUGAUUAGGAAAUUUAUGUGUAACAAAAGAGGUGCAUAUAUUGAGGUAUCGUAUAGAAGUUCACGAUAUCUGAAUUCAACAGCCUGUAAACUUCUCUCCUGCCUUUGUGUCCUUGAGUUUUAAAAAAAGGGUCGCUAAUAUCUAUUAAAAAAGGCCUACGAUGUAGGAUAAUCCUAAAGUGGUUACUUCAAUCAAAUAAGGGCGAGCUAGAGUUUCACCUUUUUUAGAAUUUAAGGAAGGGAAUGAGGGAACUAAGCAACAACAAAGAAAAAAGAAAAUUAAGAAGAAGAAAUAGAUUUUCAAAAAUUAAAACAGAAAAUAAAAACCUUAAAAUUUCACCAAAGCCUUUUAAAAGCCUCACCUAGAGAAAAAAAAGAAUGAAUAAACCUUAAAGUUCUACAAACACCUUUUAGGAGCCUCAUUCAAAAGAGAAGAUAAUAGAGUUACAUAAGUAAAUCUUGCAAAGUAUGCAUUAUCAUCAAUCUAUUCUAUAAGCCUCAAAAUAUAGAAAAAAACUCAUUGUAAGAAAAUUCCAUCAAAGAAAACUUUCUAAAUCUAAAUAAGACUCAUAUAACCAACUACCAGAAACUUUGACUCCAAAAAACCCAAAUGAACAGAGUUCUACCCUUGACUUAGCCAAUUUAGGAUUUCUUUGUUCCCUUUCCCUCUUGUGAGGAAACCUUGAAAGGUUUUUUUUUUUUUUUUGAUACGUAAAGGAUAAAAUUGUAUUAAAAACCCGCCAAAGCAGCGGCUUAAAGAUUACAAAGAAAAAAACACCCCCCACUCCCUAGCUGGAUGCCAAGGACGUAGGUGCAGCCUGAACCCCACCCUCAACGGGUUCCCACCCAAUCAAUAAAAUCAACUAAAAUCAAAGUACCAUAUUUUAUAAACAGUUUCAUCUCCGACCAAAGGAAAUAUACAAAAGAAUUCUUAAGUCUUUGGAUUGACAGCUCUUCUUCCUCAAAGGCAACUUUGUUCCUUGUCUUCCAAACCGUCCAAAAAAGACACAAAGGGCUUGCUCUCCAAACUCCCUUCCUUUUUUUCCCACAAAAGACCCAUCCCAUCCCAGAAGCGUCGCCUUAACAGUGGCUGGCAGCACCCACUGCACCCCAAAAAGAGAGCAAAGCAACGCCCAAAGAGUCCUUGCCAUGGCGCAGUGGAGAAGAAUGUGAUCUAUUGAUUCUUCGUGCCUUUGACAAAGGUAACAUCUGUUCGCUAAAGGCCAUCCUCUCUUUUGAAGUUGAUCCAAGGUAAGACCCUUUUCCCACGUUGCUUCCCACCCAAAAAAACUCACUCUAGGCUGCACAUAAACUUUCCAAAUGGCCGACGAAGGAAACCUUGAAAGGUUCAUCCCCAUCAAUCUCUCAUUUUGUAAGUAAGUUCAUUUAACAGUAGAAUCAUAAACAGACGCAAAUUAGGCAGAUGCAGUAACUGAUUGCAGAUCUUCUUUAGUUAUUGAAUUUUUGUUGGAGGUCACCUAAUACAUCACCAAAGUAAGAAAGUCCUCUUUGUUCACUGUAGUGCAAAGGCAAAGUUUAGAGCAAUGAGAGAUGGAGCAAGUGAUAUGUUGUGUAUGGGAAGUUUAUUAGGGGGAUAUGCAUCUGAUGUUUUAAAAGGCUAGAGGUGGCCUUGACAUGUUUUGCCCAUAAAAAGUGAGGCAUAAGCCUCGAGCAAUGAGGUGUAAGUCUCAACUUAAACAAUAAAUAAAUAUAAAUAAUCUAAAAAGGAUAAAAAUACUAAUAAAAUGACAUAAAAAUUAUAAUAAUAAGAAAACAACUAAACCCAUAACAAGAAAAUUAACCACUUUCUCUUUCCAAUAUUUUCUAAUUUAGUCCCUUUCUGUCUCCCACAGUCCAACUCUGUCUAAUGGCUCCAUCAAAUAGCCUUCAGCACCAUUAUCACUAUCACUAGUAGUAGGAUCCUCCAAAGAAUCAGUUCUAUCAUUCUCCACAUCAAUGUCAAUCCAAGCAAGCUGCAGCAAAGUCCAACAGCUCCUCUUCUCCAACAGCACCUCUGUUUCUUCUUAAUUAUUAUUUUUUUCCCCAUCUUCUUCUUCUUCUUUUCAAUUAUUUUCUUUUUCCUUCUUCAACGGGUUGAAUGAAAGAUAGCUCAUCAGUUAUUUUUCAAAGGGUUUAACCAAGACCCAAGACAGACAUUUCAAAGUACAAAACACACUAAAACAUUGCAUAUUUGAGGAAGCACACUUCAAUAAGGUCGUAUCAAUGAUAGUAGAGCAAUCAAAUAAGAUAAAGAUAUGUUAGAGAAUCGUAUUAGGGAUGAUGAUGGUAGUUUUGAAGACUAUUUGACAAUGUUCUAAAAACCGGACCAGUCAUUGAACCGAAAAAGUUCCCAGUUCACGGUUUACUAGUCGGACCGGUGGUUAAACCGAAAUCGAAUUGAUGAUAUCACAAAUGCAUAAUUUAUAUUUUAUUAAAAUUAAAAAUAAUUUUAAAAAAUUAAUAUGUAUAUAUAUAUAUAUAUAAAAAUCAAUGAUAUUUAUUUUUUUCAUCUUUUAUAUAAACAUAGUAAUAAUUUAAAUUUUAUUAAAUAAAAUAUGCAUAAUAUUUAAAUAUGAAAAUGUAGGUUGAAUAUUGAAGAAAAUAUAUAUAUAUAUAUAUAGAUAGAUAGAUAGAUAGAUAGAUAGAUAUUAUUUUAUGUUUAAAAGAGAUUAGAUUAUUUUACUUGUAUUGAAUUUCUGAAAUAACAUACAUAUUGUAUUCUUUAGUUUCACAAUUUUAACAUCAUUAGAUAAGUAGCAGAAUGGUAGUUCUAUAUUACCUUGAACCUUUAGUCCUAAGGUUCAAGUCCUCCUGUUGCACACUUUAAAUCCAUUUUUGCAACAAAAGAAAACCGGAACCAGACGAAGCAUGCACCAGACCGGAUCAAGGUCCGGUUGACGGUCUGACCAAUUCAACCGGUCGGUCCUGUCCAGUCCAGUCCGGUUUUAAAAACGCUACUAUUUGAUGGUGCAAUGAAAAAGGGUGGGAUUUUGGAAAAGAGAAAGAGGAUCCAACUUAGAAAUAUAAAAAAUUACAACAAUUAACUUUAUUAUUAUGAAUUUUGUAGCUUUCUUAUUAUUCUAUUCUUAAUUUACAUUAGAAUGUUAUCAUUUUUGACAUUUUUCUUCUCUAUUGUUAUUACUGUUAUCUCUUCUUUUUAUGUUUAAGUUGAUGCUUAUGUCUUGUUUUAGCUCAAGGCUUACAUCUCACCUCAAGACCACUUUAGCCUUUUAAAACAUUGCCUUAAGCCUAUGACUCAAAGCUACAACUCAGUGCCUCCCCUUGAGGCGGGCCUCAAGGUGUGUACCUCAAAUACCUUUUAGAAAACACUCUGCACAUCCUGAAUAUAAUUCCUACGAGGUUUUGUUAUGAUAAUAAAGUUGCCAUCAAUAUUGCAAAUAACCCUGCUCAGCAUAACAAAACUAAACAUAUUGAGUUUAAUAGGCACUUCAUAAUGAAGUUAAAUUCUGGCUUGGACCUACGAUCAACUUGCUGAUGUUUUGACAAAGGAGUAAAAGGGCUAAUUUUCAUAUUAUUCAUGGCAACCAGGGUAUUCAUGACAUACACACCAGUUUAAAGGGGAAUGCCACCACCAUCAUUUUCUUUUACCAGUGGUUUUUUUGUUCUUUACUGUGUAGACAGAUUCCUUUCGAUAUAAACAUAUAGAACUGGAGAUAGAACCCUAAGCUUCUCUCUUCUUUCUAUGUUAUGUACAUGAUGCAAUCCAUCUGAACAUCCAUAGGAACUGUAAAACGAGAGACAAUUGCCUAUGGGAAGGCUUGUUAUCAAAACAAAAAUAAUCAUUAGAUGAUAAUCAUCUAAUAAAUUAUCACUACUAAAAACUGAAUGUAGUGUGCAUAGGAAGAAUCAAUAUCGAGUUGAUCAUGCUUAUCCAAUCAAUACUCCAAAUGACUAGUGAUGAUGUUACAGUUAACAAUAGCGAGUAAGUGAGAAUAUGAUUAUGACACAGUAUCCGCCCCAUUCAUCAAGUUCAGACCAUGACCAAGCAAAGAGUUCUAGGUGCAUCUGAAAGUUCGUGUCUAGCCAUGCUUUGGAUGUAAUGUCAAAUGUCAAGACCAGUGUGUAUUAUUCUUGCUGGUGUCUCAUUAUAAGAAAUUAUGGUCUGUGGUUGAGUGGUUCUGAUGAGCUGGCAACAAAAUUACAUGAUAAAAUAUGCCCAGGCAAUGGAAUAGAAAAGUUAAAGAGCUGGAAGAGAGCCUGAGCAAUUUUGUUAAUUUCAAGCAGAACUUGAUAAAACUAAAGUUGGGUUUUGUCAAUUAAACUCAUUUCACAUGUUGCUAAUGUAAAAAUCUCUAUCCCCUUUGAAUUCACAAACUAUUCUAAAUCCAUUCCUAAGCAUAAAUAAUUACUCAUUUGAAUCUUCCAUGCGUCUUGUAUGCUGACAACAGUCAAAAUAAAAUGUUGGAAGACUUGUGACUGAAUAUGGGCCUAAUCACACAUAUUUCUUUCUAUAAUUACUCUUGUAUGGUUAUUUGUGUUGAAAGUUUGGAAUUUACGACUUUUCUCCUUUUAAGACUCUUCUUGUACAACUGUAAAUUAGUUGGGAUUUUUCUCCUUUUAGGACUCCUCUUGUUUAGCUGUAAAUUAGUUGGGAUUUUUUUCCUAGUAGGACCCAAAUGAGUUAUGAGGAGAUUUGAAUUACUAUAUAUAUCAAGAAUUAUACUUUCCUAUUAUAUAUAUAUUCUGGUGUAUCUCUUGAUUUUUGUGAAAAAGAAUAAUUCAGAAUUUUACAUGGUAUCAACGCCAACUCUAGGUGAUUAGUGUAUUUGUUGAAAACCUUGAAUACUAAUUGUCCUUAUUUGUCAGAUGGUCACAUCACUGUCCUUGGAAGGCUAUUGCACAAGUAUUUCAGGAGUUUUCCUUGUUUACUCAAUUUGUGGUAGGAAAUGGGGAAAGAAUUCGGUUCUGGGAAGAUUUGUGGUGGGGGGACCAACCUUUGGGAACCCAAUAUCCAAGACUAUUUAGAGUAGUCUUGGAUAAAAAUAUUCUUAUUUCUUCAGUUCUUGGUUUUACUCGUCCUUUCUCUUGGAAUUUUAAUUUCAGUCGUAACCUUUCAGAUUUUGAGAUAGAGGAUUUAGAAGGCCUCAUGCGGUAACUUGAUGGAUUGCAUCUAUCUCCUUCAGUUCCAGAUGCCAGAUUUUGGCCAUUAUCUUCUUCAGGGUUUUUUUCAGUCAAAUCUUUAUUUCUAGCAUUAUCUCAAUUUUCUGGAUCUCCUCAGGUUUUCCCUUCUAAGUUCGUUUGGAAUUCUCAAGUCCCUAUCAAAGUGAAGUCCUUUGUCUGGUUAGUGGCACACAAGAAGGUGAAUACUAAUGACAUGCUACAAGUGAGAAGACCCUACAAAGCCCUUAGUCCUGAUAUUUGUAUUCUGUGCAUGAAGCAUGGGGAAUCAGUAGAUCACCUUUUCCUUCAUUGUUCCUUGACGAUUGGGUUGUGGCACAGAUUAUUUCAGUUAGCCAAGACGGAUUGGGUCCCCCUGAGGAGCAUCUUUGACAUGAUAUCCAUCAAUUUUUUUUUAAUGGUUUUGGUUCAUCUAAGAGGGAGAUAGUCUUGUGGCAAACUACGAGCAACUCUCUAAUUCGGGUUGUGUGAUGGGAAAGAAACUCGGAGAUCUUUGAGGAUAAAGCAAGGAAUUCAGAGUAUCUUUGGGACUCUAUUGUUUUCCUUGCUUCUCUUUGGGCUUUCUGUUCCAAGGUUUUUAAGGGGACUCCCCUUAAUGUGUUACAACUUGACUGGUUAGCGGUGUGUACUCCAUAAGGAUUGGUCCAUUAUAGAGAGUUCUCUUGUUUUACAGUGUAAUUUCUUGUAGUUUAGUUUUCUUUGGCGGGAGGAUUUUUCAUCCUUCUUAUUGUACUUCUUUUUUUCUAUCUAUAUAUCUCUAUGUCGUUUCCAAUCAAAAAAAAAAAAAAAUUGUCCUUAUUUGAUAUAUAUAUAUAUAUAUUUUGGUGGUGUUUUGAUUUCUCAGCCUUCAUUGUUGUGUUUGAUUCCUCACCCUUCAUUGUCAAUUUUUUUUCUGAUUCAAACCAUAGUCCUACCACCAAUUCUACCAAGACAACAUUCAAAGCGCCAUUAAGCCAAACUACAUAACCUCCAAGCUACUUACUACCUUAUCGAGAAGAAUUAUCUUCAAAGGUCUCAAUUGGUGCGAACCUUCCUAAAGGGUAGAGGAAAUUUGAGUCAUUUAAUCGGCACAAGACCAAAGCCCAGAGCUCCAAAAUUUCACAACUAGGAUGAAGAGGAUUCCAUAUCAUGUCUUAGUUAUGGAAUUCAAUGACCCUUGAAAUUAGUGGACCAUGUACGUUUUUUACAAUGACUAGGUACAUUUGGGAAGCUAUCUGACAAACCUAUUCAAGGGUAUGAGAUUUUGCUUAAAUUUUCGAAAUCAAGGUGAAUGUUUCGGACACAAAACAAGGAACUAGAUCUGUAACCAAAUAUGUCAAUAUCAUGAAGAAUUUGUGGCAGGAAAUUGACUACUACUAGAACAUUCAAAUGAAAUGCAUUGAAGAUGCAAUAAUUCUCAAAAAAAUUGUAGAAAGAGAACGAAUUUUUGAAUUUCUUAUAGGCUCAAUAUGGUGUUCAAUCAAGUGCAAGUCCAAGUCCUAGGAAAGAGGAACUUCUAUCCAUGAAUGAAGUCAACUUCAACGUUUGUGCUGAAGAAAGUUGAAGAGGUGUGAUGCUCAAACUAUCUUCUAUUGACAGUUCUGUCAUGGUUGCUACAAAGGCAAACAAAUUCAGCCUGAUCUUGUUAGAGAAACUGGGCAUUCUGAUGGUUCAAAGAAUCCCAACCAUGAAGAACUUUGAUGUAUCUAUUGCAAGAAGCCUCGACACACCAAAGAGAAGUAUUGGAAACUCCAUGGAAAAUCUCAGAAUCAAUAUUGGAAUGGGGAAAAUAAAGCAUGGCAGCAACACAGUCAAGCAAAUAUGACAAAUUGUGAAGGAGGCCCUCAAGAAAAAUCGAGUUUCAACAGUGAAGAAUUUGGAGAGGGAAACAAGGAAAAGAUAGAAAAACUGAGAAAUUUUUUAGGCAUUCUUGAUAAACAAUCGGCUAUGUAUUCUUUGGCACAAACAGGCAAGCCUUCCAUUUCUCAUACUUUAAGGACCUCAGAUUUGUCCUUCACUGACUCUUGGGUCAAUGACUUAAGAGCCACAAAGCACAUGACCCAAUCUUCUCUCUGUUUCUCUUCAAAUUGUCCUUGCCUAGUAACAAAAAUAUUUCUAUUGUCGAAGGUUCCUUUCCCAUGACUGCUAGUCAAUGAAAAAUGAAUCUCACCCAAUCUAUUGUUUUACAAGGUGCAUUACAUGUACCUAAACUUUUGGUUAACCUAGUGUCAAUCAAUAAAUUAACCAAAGAUCUAAAUUGUUGUGUAACCUUUUUCCAAAAUUAUAGCGUGUUUCGAAACCACUAAGGGGAAGACAUUUGGGCAUGCUAGGGCAAAGGAUGGGAUUUACUACCUUGAAAAAACCAGUCAGUGUGUUGGCAAAAAAAAAAAAGAAAACAGUCUUUUCUAUCCUUCUUGACCGAAACUACACCUUUCAAUAAAGGCGAGAUUUCACUUCAUCUUAGGCAUUCCUCAUUUAGAGUUCUUCAAACUAUAUUUCUUUUGUUAUUUAAAUCAAUGGAUGUAAACAGUUCCCAUUGUGACAUAUGUGAAUUUGCCAAGCAUCAAUAUGUUUUGUUUUCCUUUAGUACCAAAACUUCCCUACAUUUGCUUUGGUGCAUAGUGAUAUUUGGGUCCAUCUUGAGUUUCAAAUGUUUCUGGUGCUAAAUGGUUUGUGUCAUUUAAUAAUGAUUAUACAAGGGUAACAUGGAAACAAAAGUCUAAAGUGAACAAUAUAUUUCCCAUAUUUCAUCCCAUGGUUAAAAAUCAAUUUGGGGUUUGUAUAAAAAGGGUUACAACUGAUAAUACAAGGGACUACUUCAAUCAAGUUUUGUCCUCAUACUUUAAAAAGAGGGGAUGAUUUAUGAGUCAUCUUUUAUUGAUACACCCAAACAAAACGAGCUUGCUGAAAGGAAAAAUGGUCAUCUUCUUAGUGUUACUCAGGCAUUAUUGUUUGAAAAACAGCAACACAAAUCUUAUUGGGGGGAAGUUGUUUUAAUUGUUGCCCAUUUUAUAAACUAGGUUUCAUCUAGAGUCUUAGGAUUCAAAAGUCUCAAGGAAGUGUUUGCAAAAUUCUUUCCUAAUUGUCAUACCUUCUAUACAUUGAGUCUGAAGGUUUUUGGUGUGUGUCAUUUGUUCACAUUCAUACACAUAACCGUUAGAUCCAAAGGUUAUGUGUCUUCAAGUGUCUCCAUGCACAACACUUGGAGUAUUGAACUUUUCUUAGAGGAUAUAGUUACUUAGUGAAGUACAAAGCAACCAGUGGUAGCAAGAUCAAGUGUCAAGGCAAAGUUCUAGGCAAUAAGUCAUGGAAUUUGAGAAUUGUUAUGGCUUAAGAUUAUUUUAGAUGAUCUUAAAAUCAAGUGCACAUGCCCUAUGAGACUCUAUUGUGAUAAUAAGUCUACAAUCAACAUCUAGCAUGACUGAAAAAAGUAUAUGGAGGUAGAUCGACAUUUCAUAAAGAAAAAACUUUAUAGUGGUCUUAUUUGCAAUCCAUAUAUUGGGACAAGUGGCCAACUUGCAUAUGUUUAAACUAAAGGGUUGGCUAAUACCACAUUUCAAGGAAUUAUAGGAAAGCUAGGAAUGAGGAAUCUCUAUUCACCAGCUUGAGGGGUAGUGCUGAAAGUUUGGGUCCUAUAAUUUAGGAUUUUUCUCCUUUUAGGACUCUUCUUACACAAUUGUAAAUUAGUUAGGACUUUUCUCCUUUUAGGACUCCUCUUAUACAGCUGUAAAUUAGUUCGAAUUUUUCUUCUUGUAGGACUCUUCAUGUACAAUUGUAAAUUAGAUGCUAGAAGAUUUGAAUUGAUUUGAAUUACCGUCUAUCUCUUGAUUUUUGUGAAUAAGAAUAAUUCAAAAUUUCACAAUUGAAUAGUUGUGCAUGUAACAACUAUCUAUAUAGUUGUUUAAUUGAUUAAAAACAGGUCUACAAUUAGGCUAUAAAAUCUGUAAUUAGGCUAGGAAUAUCUUCCUUAUUUAUCAAUUUUUUUGUCAACUCUUUUGUGUUAAAUACCCAGGACCAACUUAUACUGAAAAAUUAGAGAGGAAACAUUUUUUCCUUCACUGCAUUCAUGGUAUCAGAGUAGGUCAACAACCCAGUUGUAUUAUGUUUUUUUUGUGGCCAUUAACAUUAUUUGGUCAAAAAUUCACACCCAGAGCUAUUUUCCAUGAUUUAUCAUGAACUCGAAAUUAAGAAAAAGAAAGCAAACUGCUGUAUCAAACUAACCUCCACUCUGCUGUUGGAAGAGUUGGGACCAAAGCUUAAGAAAAAGACACUGCAGAUCAAUAGGAUGAUUAAUGACACUGAAAGCCGUCCUAUGAAUCCCUUCACUCCCCAACUCAGCUGCUUCAGCGGCUGCCUAUACCCAUAUCUCCUUCGCAAUGCAUCUCCAGCCCUACCACAUUAAGAGGGACAGAGAGAAAAAGGGAGAGAAAUGCAGAUGUUUUAGAAAGUCAAAAGAGUUCUACACUCGUUCGGUUGCUGAGAAAAGAAAGCGAGAAAGGGGAAAAAACAAAAAUACAAAAACAAAAAAACAAAACAAAACAAAGAGAGGAAGAAAAUGAACGAGUCUGAAUUUCUCAUCACUUGAUCGAGCCAAACAUGCUAACAUUCAGCUUAGAUCAGAUGAAAUUCUACUUUUAUUCCCAAUUCCUAGCAUAAGAUGCAGAAUUAAAAUUUUAAAUAUAUAUAUAUAUUCCUUUACUUUUCCCAUUUAUCCCAGCAACCAAAGAGAAGCAAAAGAAAGACAGAAGCAAAGAGUGAGAACGAAUCAACAUCUUUUCAGAGAGAAAGUGUUUCACGAUCGUUUGGUUGCUGAGAAAGUGACAGAAAGGGGAGAAACCCGAAAAAAAAAACAAACAAACAGUUUCCAUUUACUUGUUCGAGGAUCGAGCAAUGUACAAACUUUCGGCAAGUUGAGACGUAUUCUCUCUCCAUUUCUAAUUCCUCCAAUCAAAAUAGCAUAAAAGGCAAAAAUUCAAACCAAAAAAAUAAAAGAGAGAGAAAAGGAAGAAUUGCGCUGCUUCACUUUUGGUUCCUCUGCAUUCAAAGACACAGAAAAAGACUUCCAGAGAGAAAAAAAUGUACGUGUUUUAGAGAGUGAAAGAAAGCUCCAAGCUCCAUUUGAUUGCUGAGAAAGCGCGACAAAAGCAAGAACUAGAAAACCACAAUUUCGAAUCCUGAAGUCCUCAUUACACAUCGGAGCCAAAUACAAGCAAUUUUAGCUUCCAAUUUCUCCAAAUCAAAACAGCAUAAAACGCAAGAUUUAAAUAAAUAAAAAAUCGAAAAAAAUUUUCUAUUUUCCUUCAAUUUUUUCCCACUCUUUCUAACAAAAGUUACAAAACCAAACAAAAAGAGAGAUGAAUUUAAAAAAUAAAAAAUAAAUAAAUAAAUAAAUAAAAGGAGUUUUAGAGAGAAUGCGACUUACCUCCUCAUUUUUUUAAUUGACUUUUCCUCUCUUUUAAAUUUGGAUCUGAUGUGCCGAAGCAGAGAGGAGACAUGCAGACAUAAACAUUAGUUGUUAAUGAGUUGACUCACUCUAGAAUCGCCCAGCAAAUAAUCACUACAGUCACAGGCCGCCUUCACGGCUUAGGAUGAGAGUCAUUUUGUCGGCCGAGAUUGCAUUUAAGUGGGACCCAUACAUGCGACUGUCACCACACGACGAUUUUUGUUAUUUAUUUUUAUAGGCUUUUCUAUUAAGUUGGUCAUAUUUUAAGCUUUUCCCAAAAAUUAUUACAUAACUGUUGUAGAAAACAAUUCUAAAAAAUAAUUUUUUAUAAUAAUUUAUAAAAUUAUUUUUUUUAUUUUUGUAAAGUUAAAGUCAUAUUAAGUGUUAAAAUAUUCCCUCUUGUGAAUUAGUUUGACUUAAAUGCAUAGUGGUGUUUAAAAACUUACUCAUUUUAUUCAUCUCUCUCUACCCCCUUUUUUUUUUUUUGUGUAGGAUGGCAUUUUUCAAAUGUUUCAAGGAGAAGACGGUAACCAUUCUUGAGGAUGAUAGUGAAAAUUUUGAGGAAUGGACUACCUUAUCAGUGCAUAAGUCACUUACUGACCUUCAAUAUUUGUCAAUGUCAGUGACAAAGGACCCAUUACACAUUUCUUCCUAGUCCCGAGUUGCAUCUUGCUAGCUUACAGAUAUUAGCAAUUCGAAACUCAAUAAGGUGAAAUUCGUUUCUAAUGUUCUGCUUUUGAAUUCCUCUCACCCAACUACUAUCGAAGUUCAUGAUAAAUUUGGAUUAUUAGGUUCUUGUGUUCGUGAUGGAGAAGCCAAAUGGGGAAGCUCCUUCAAGGUACUUGGGGAAUCUUUCUUUAUUAAAGGAUAUUGGAAAUGGGUAGAGGAGGUAUUGGGUCGACAUGGACCAUUUCUUAAAUGAUGCAAGCUUUAUGAAGCUAUUCUUGCAUUCCUAUUCAGCUAUGAUCAUCACGCCUCUGUGAUUAAGGCCUUUUGCGAAUGUUAGUAUCCUACCGUUAACACCUUGCAUACUUUCAUUGGAGAGGUUUCCAUAUCUCUUUGGGAGUUGUAUCAUAUUGUCGGACUACCUAUCAUUGGAUCUUUUUAUGAUGAGAUACUACCGAGCGCGAAAUAGUUAUCUAAUGAUGCAACGAAGUCCUCACUCCCACCAAGUUUUUGAAACUUAUUCCUUGCAAUCAUCGAAUUUGCUAUGAGACGAAAGGAAGUCUUCAGUCAAGUUAGCCUCUUAGGUGUCAUUUUGGUACAAAAGCUCCAUGAAGUAUGCAAAACCCCUAAAGAAGAGUAUAAGGAAUAAGGUGUAGAGGCCUAAGGAGACUCAUAACCCCUCUUGGGAUAUUGAUCCUGUUAAAUCUCGUACUCAAUCGAAGAUAGAAGUUUUUAACAACCUUGGCAUGGCGGAGGCAGAUGUUAAGGAAACUUACUUGACCGCUUUCUUGGCAUGUUGGUUAUGCAAGUUCGUUCUUCCUUAGGGGUGUCAAUUUGAUUCGUCCUGGAGUCUUCAAGGUAGCUAGUAGAAUGGCUCAAGGUGAGACAUUUUGCUUUGUUGUUUCGGUGUUAGCAAACAUUUACAACGACUUAAAUGAAAUCGCUUCUUUUUCGAAGUCUGAGACUAAUGCAUCUAUUUUCUCUAUUCAUUAUUUAUACGGAUGGUUAGGUGAAUAUUUUGAUACCCAUUUCAUUUCUCUUUCUUAGAACCAUCCUCCACGAAUGAAUUAUUACAUCAGCAAGUUUUCUACUAAGUUUUUCAAAGAUUUACAAGCUUAGGCUUUGAUAAUGUCUUGUAAAGGCGUAAAGUUGGACCACUUGGCAUUGCGACAUAAAGAAUGUGUGUACUGGAUUGAUAAUGAAACCAUUAGUGCCACCAAAGCUUCUUAUCUCAUAAGUCUUUACUCUAGCUAUUUAUCUUUGCAACAAGGUAACCACCGGAUGAUCUAAUCGUAUUAUCUUCAUCAGUUUUCCAAGCAAUUUAGGUGUCCUCAAGACCUUUCGGGGGGUUUGCCAGAGAUUUUUCGCACUAGAACUUUAGACGCAGUGUAUCAACAUUGGGAGUCAUGCACUAGGCUUGGUCCCUACUAUAAAGUUACUAUACCGGAUUAUCAUAAUCUUGAAGAGUUUCAACCACCAAGGCUUAUGCAAAUUAGUGGAUCAAAGUGCGCAAUCCUAAUAAGGAAGUUUUUAUUACUGCUUGUAUGAAGCCCCCUCCUGAUUCUUCUUAACAAAUACCCUCAAAGUUUUUAGAGAGUAGAACGCACAAGGUUGACUCAAGUGUUUCUAUUAAGGGGAACGUUAGGGACAAUGUUGAGAAGGAUUUUGACGAUUUACCUUUUGAUUCAAGAGCUUCUUCUAAGCGCUCAAUGGGUGCUGAUCAAAUUAAUACCUCCACACACUUGGAGCAUGAGGAAACUAUUUUUAAUGGUGAUAGUGGUCACUAUCACAAGACUUUUAAGCAACAAAACAAUACAUAAGGUCUUCAUGUAUUAGAUGACAACUCUGAAGAUACAAGUGAAUGUCACUUCAAAUGUCGAAAGAUUAGACCCAACCCUGUGUACUAUGAUGAGACUAACUCUCAUGCUCUUGAUGCAAAUGUUUUCUUUGCUGACGUCCCAACUUCUACUGAAUCGAUGGAACUUAAUGGUGAAGAGGUUUUUUUUUUUUUCAUUGAUACUAACAAAAAUAAAUAUUUGCCUUAGGUAAAGGGUGACAACCAAUUUUUCGAUGAAGGGGAUGAGUCAUCUCCUAAGGAUUGGUUCGAAAGUGUUGUUGCUACUAGGGAGUCAACACCCUUUACCCUGACUAUACAACGAGAAGAUGACUCUAUCAUCUUAUUACCUUUGCCUCAUUCUCAUUUGGGUGAUGAAGGUAUUACUAACAUCUUAAGUGAUAUUUUGAUUGAAUCUCAAGGUCAAGAUACCACAAUUGGAGAUACAACAUAUGAUGAAUUGACACUUUUAACAGUUGUAGGUUUAAUUGUUGAACAACAAUCUCCAUGCCUACUAUUGUGGCUCAUUCUACUUCCAUUUACACAUUCAACGUCCAACAAAUCAUCCUUAAUACCCAAUGCCAAGUAGCACUUAUGAUAGGAGAAGGCAUUAAGGAGAUGAUUGUCAACUUUUAAUGAGUGUCUCCCAUUUUUGAGAGGAAAAUUGAUGAGCUUUUCAAUGCUAUCGUGAGACUAGAGUGGACCUUUCACCAUUAAAGUCUCAGAUUGAGAAGUACAUGGUAAGUGUAGAUCACCAUUAAAGUCUCAGUUUGUUGAAUCACAUUGAAAAUCUUGUCUUUUUUUUUUUUUUUUUGCUUGUGUAGGUGGCUUGGUUAACAAGAUGAUCACUAACAUUUAGAAUCCAUUUUUCAAUAAUUCUAGAAAAUGCUCUGAGUCUAAAAAGUGUUUUUGAAAAAAAAAAUUAGAUGUUUAACAAAAUUUAGGAAACAAUUAAAAAUAUGAAAAGUCACAUAUAGAGUUCGUUAAAUAGUGAUUUUAUGAAGUGUUUAUGACAUUUCUAAUACUUGAAAGAUAAAAAUUUCCAAAUGUUAGAAAUACUAAAAACACUUCAAGUAAAAGCAUUCUCAAACGCAAUCUUAUAUUAUUGAGUCUAAUAGAUGCUUGUCUUUCACAUUGAUCAUAGAUGAAAUAAAGUGUCACUAAUAAUUUUGCUUAAUAAAUUUAAAGAAAAUUUCAUAAUACAUAUAUGCUCCAUUUUAUUUUAAAUUUGAGAUAUAUUAUUAUUAGAACAGUAGAAUGAGACUAUUAACCCAUGAAAUCUUUGAAUUGAAUUAUUAUAAAGGGAAAAAAGAAGCAUCACCUUUCUUCCAAUCAAACUAAUUCAUUCAUUUUUAUGUACUUUAGUAAUAAUUCAAUUACUUUCUUUAUUAUUAAUGUUAAUUAAUUAUUAAUAUAAAUAUAAAAAAUCUAAUUAUUUUUUUUAUUAAUUUAACUAUCAAUCAACCAUAAAAUAUCUAACUAAUAUAUUAUUAUUUUUUUGCCUAAAUCAAAAUAUGAUAUAUUAAUAUUAUCCCAUAUUUUAAUAUUAUUUAUUAUAUAAUUUUUUGUUUCAAUUAAUUCUAUGAUGUAGCACACAUCAUUAUUAGUUUCUUUUAUUUUUUAUUUUAAGUUUAUCAUUAGUUUUCUAUUUCUAGGUUUAGUUUCUAAUUAUCUUCAUUUCUUAUUACUUUCCUAAUUUUCUUAGUUUCUAAUUAUCUUGGUUUUCUAUUUCUAGUUUCCUAUUUUAAUUAUUUCCUUUAUUUUUACAUACAAACAUGAUUUAAAUGUUUAUUUUAAUUGUUAGAAUCAAUUCAAUAUAAUUUUUCAGAGUUAUUCUUUAAUUUUCAGAUCCUAUUGUGAUAUUUGUAUUUAUUUUUGAGUGUUUUUCAGUUUCAUUUUGAAACAAACCUUCCACUUCACCAUUCUAUUAUUAAUUAUGAGUUGUAUUGUAUUUAUGGUUUUCAUUUUUUAUUUUAUUAUUAUUAUUAUUUUUUAUGUAGUGGAACUUGUAUCAACUUGGACUCUUACAAUCACAAGUUAGUAAAGUUGCUCCUUACUUUUUUGAGAAUUUGAGUGAAAGAGGUUUGGAGGUACUUAGUUGUGUGAAAUUUGGAUGUCUUUUGCAUUAACUAUAGUGAUAGUGAGGACGGUACUCUAAUUUUGUAACAUUAUGUCAUACAAUCUUAUGUUGUUUUAUUAGUUUUAUAUUUUUUUUUAUGAAAUAAUUGAUCAAUUUUUUGAAGUUUUUGAUAUAUAACCGUGGUUAACACAUGUAGUUUUAAUGUUAUCGAUUGAAUCUUUAUUCAUUUUAUAUGUGCAUCACAUUUAUCUUAUCCUAAAAGUAAUUUUCAUUAUUCUUUUUUUUUUUUGUUUUCCUUACAUUAUUCUUCAUUUUUAUUCUUUUAUUUAUUUGAUAACUCAUGUUAUGUUCUCAUUCAUUCUUAAUUUAUUUUAUUUUUAUUUUUUACUUUCAUAUUAAUAUACUCAUUUUUUUACCUAUUAUACCCCUUGAUCAUUUUAUUUAUUUAUUAUAUUAUUUAUAAUUAUUUUUUCGAUGCAAAGAUUAAUAAAAUGAAUGACACAACUUAAGUGUUAACAAGAUUUAUUGCAUAAGAAGUAUAUAAUAGAGAAAACAUAGACGAUGUUAACUCAAGCAACAAUGAUAUCUUACCCUCACACAAAGCUCGAGAUUAGAAAUGAGUAAAGUUAGCCUCUUUCAUUAUAAGUUCUCUUGUAACAUUGGUUUCAUUCCCAUGAGCAAGGAGUUGACAUUCUUGUUCUUGUUUGCACUCUUUUUCUUGUUAAAUUCUCCUUUUUAUUAACAUAUUUUCAUUUUUAUUUUCCAUCUAAGACGCUAUUUUAUUUUUUUGAAAAUUAAAAUCAAUCUUUUGAAAAAUAUAUAUAGUUAAUACUCAAUUUACAUGCAUCACAUAGGAGUGCUUACUAAUAAGCUAAAAAUGUAUCGUUAUGUCCUUUAAAUAACAAAAAUACCAUGGCAAAAGGUUUGUUUAACCCCCAAAAAAAAAAAUUUAUAGUAAAAAAUAAAAUAAUUUUUAUAAUUUACGUUAUGAAAUUUUUAUUUGUUUAUGUUCUUGUUACUAGUGAUGGAGCCAAGGAGUGCCUAGGGGGGCAUUUAGACCUCCUUAAAUUUUGCUAAAAAUAUAAUAGGUAGUGGGAAUUGAACCAUAACCUAAAGUUUUUUUUUGGUAAUUAACUACCUUAACACCAAGUUAUAUUAGAAGUUUGAUGCUAUUCUGCCUCGAAUAAGUUCCAUAUAAUGCCCUCCUCAACCAUUUUUCUGGCUUCACCCUUGCUUCUUACGUCCAAUUCAAUAUAUAAAAAAUUAUUUAAAAAAUAUAGAAAUUAUUUACAAUAUAUAAGUUAAUCUCAAUCCAAUAUAUAAUAUUUUUACUCAACCUAAAAUAUUUUAAUAUCUAGAAAUUUUUUAUAGCUUCUUAAUAAACAAUCCAUUUGAAAAUUAUUUAGCAUUUUCCCAUCCUACUUUAUUCACGUACAUCAACUAAAGUUGUCAAAUAUAUUUGCAAUAGAUUCCAUAUUUCAUGAGUUGACAUAUCAUCCUAUUAGAAAGCAAAAUAAUGUAUCAAUAAUUCAUGGUUAAUGGCAUGAAGAACAAAAGAGAGAUGACAUUCUACCAAAUUAUUGCACACAAUUUUUUCACUAGUAGUUCUCAUCCAAUGUUAAUAAAUAAUUAUUACUUGCAUAUUGUUUGAUGACCAUUGAAGUAUAAUUGCUUGAGAGAGGCUCAUAGCUAGAAUUAGCACAAACAACAUGAUCUUGUGUUUUAUAUAUAUAUAGGUAUCGAAUCCAUUAUUCAAUAAAAGAAAUUGAAAAUCUUUACGACAUUCAAUUUAAUCAUAAUUUCCAAUAAGAACUAAACAACAAAGAUUUAGAGAAUUGAAAUCUAAGUUCAAUAUUAACAUUUAGAAAUGUGAUCAAAAUCUACCUACAAUAGGAUUUAGAAAACCAAAUACCACUUACAUACACAUAGUGGUCAAUCAAAGAAUGUACUAAGAACCUGUUUGAUAGUAAUUUUAGAAAAUAAUUUCAGUCUAAAAAACAUUUUUGAAUAAAAAUUAGAUGUUUGACAAAUUUUAAGAAACAUUUUUAAAAUUUUUUAAAAAUCACUUGUAGUGUUGAAAAAUCACUUAUAGUGUUUUAUAGAGAAAUACUUGACAAGUGAUUCUCCUAAAAACACUUUAAAAAAAAAACUUCCAUUAAAAAACACUUCAAAUAGAAACACUAUCGAACACGCUGUAAGUUACUAUUAACAACAUUGCAAACACAAAUUAUGCAAUCUAUGAAGUAAUCCAUUAUUAUACAUAAAAAAAGGUAAACAAUUCAUAACCACAUAAAAGCAUGCAACAUGAAGAGCAUAUUUUUGCCUGAUAAAUAAAGUCUUGAUAUAUAUAAUACAACUUUAAAGACUAGUUGUAAAGUUCUCUCUCAGAAAGCAAUCAUCUAAUACAAAGUCCAUCUUUCUUGCAUUAAUUUGACCUAAUCUAAUAAACAAGUAAAUAAAUUUUCUUCCAUUAAUUUCUCUUUCCUUUAAUACAAAUGUUUGUGCCUUCUUAAAAUUGAUUACUUACAUACUCAGAAGCUAAAAAUAUAACCAAGCAACAAUAAACAUCCAUCUUACCUAGUAAUAUCGAACCUAAAGAGGGUUGGCCAAUUAGGAACCUAAACAAGGCAUAUGGAAAAAAGGGCUCAUAACCCAUCUAUAAAAAGACUACACAAAUACAAGACUAAAGGAACUAAGGAAUUAUGUUCAAGAAUAUGAAAAACAAGAUCAAUAGUUUUAAAUUAGUUGAAAAGAAACCAAUAAGUAAUAAAGGAAUAGAUAUUAGCAAGAUGUAUAUACCUUGGUAGGCAUAAAAUGGCUAAAUGAGAUCUUUUAUAGUGAGAAUGCUUCAUAUUCUUUUUCCUUAACUGGAUUUACAUUUUGCAAAUAUUAUAAAAAUGAUAAUGUAUCCAUGCUAAGGUCUCAAAUAUGUUGAAUAUACAACCCAACAUUAAAAACAAGGGUAAAAGAAUAUUAAAAAGAGUAGAGGAGAUCAAUAGUUGAUUAUCUAAGAUGAAAUUAUAGUUCAUUAUCAAGUUUCUUGGGAAUUUGUUGUUUUAAAAUAUGCAAUAGCAUAUGAGAAAGUGGAGUAAGAGAUGGAGGAAAAUGUACAACCAUGAUGAUACUUAGAUUAGUUUAAUUUGAACUUUUUGAUAUCCAUGGCCUAAUUUUUCAUAAUUGAAAUAGAAUUUAAUAGUUGAAAUAAAUAAUUGAUUAUUUAAAAUACCAAUAAAUAUGGUGUUUGAAUUCAAGAACACAAAAAGUCCAUAAUUUUUGUUAAAGCUUUCUAAUUUUAUAUAAAAGUUAAUACUACUUUGUAUUUUUAAAAAUAAAAAAAGAAAUAUAUUAUAAAUAAGAUGUGUUUCACAUAAAUAGGAAUAAAAAAAUAUGAUAGAUAAUAUUUGUAAAUCGACAUAUCAAAUAUAUCAUCUUAUUAUAUAAAUAGAUAAAAUAUUGUAAUAUAUUUUAAUAAUAUAAUAUUUAUAUUUUUUGUAAUUAACUUAGUUUUUAUACUUGUUAUUAUUUUCAAUGCUAGCUAUUUAAUUUGAACAAGCUUGUUUUUGACAAAACUAGUUGGAUAUAAUACAAAUAUUAAAAAGAAAGGCAUAUCUAUGGGAGUAAAAUAUUAUUGUACUGCUAAGCAUGGAUAUGAAAUUGGACUUUAAAAAGAUUAUAUGUUGGAAAUUAAACCCAUUCAUUAAAAUGGGCAAACCAUUUUUUUUUUUUUAAGAACAUAUAUGAAAACAUUGAAAAUUGAAAACACUCUAUUCAUUGGAUCUUCCUUUACAUUUAUUACUUUUUGACUGAACUCAUCUUUUUUCUUCUCUCCAUGUAGACACUACUUUUUUUAUGAAUUUAUCUUUUUUCCUCUCUUUAUGUAGACCCCAAUCUUUCGUAAACCUCAUCUGUCAAUUUCUUGUAGAUCUCUUAUAGUUAUUCUACAUUUUAAGAGUCUCUGAUCACUUAUAUUUCAACAAUUUUUAUUCAAUCAUUUGACACAUUUUAAUGAAUUGAUGAUGUUCCUUUUAUUUAUAUGUCAGAAUCUUGGUGUCUCAUAUCAAUUGUGUUGUCAAAUAUGAAUUAAAUUUCAAUAAGGAAAAGGAAAAUUAAAGGAAUGUUUUUUUUUUUCUUUUUAAAAUCCAAAUUGAAUCAACGAAAAUAAAUUAAAUAAGUUAAUGGUUUUUUUUUUAUAAGAGUUUCCUUAUGUUAUACAAUUAUAACAAAAUUUAUUAAUAUUUUUUAUUUUUAAAAAUAUAAAAUAAGAAAUAUGUAAUAAAUCAUAUGUUUUUGGUGUAUUGGAGUUGGAAUAGGAAUCACAAUGAAAAUAAAGUUGAAUAAGAGGAGAAGAAUCCAAAAUCUAAUAUAUGUGCAUUUUAAUUUUCUUUUAACAAUAAUUAUAUUCUAUGAUGUUGUGAUUUCAUUAAUAAAAUAAUAGGUGACAACUUAUCAUGUUACGUUCCCAUUAAUAACAUAAUGUGUGGAAAACCAGGAACUCUUGCAAGUGGACCAUUGAGUAAAAACUUCAAAAAUUACAUAUCAACUCAUAGACAACCAUAAUUAAACACUAUCCUAUACUCUUAAACAUAGCAUAUCAAGUUAUGAACAACCAUGGUUAAACACUAAUCUAAACUAUUUGAACAUUCCACAAAAGAAAAAAAUUUCAUCAACCCAUAUGCAAACUUGACAUGAAUUCAAAUAUUUGGGUUACCAAAUAAGCAACAUGAUCCCUAAGACCAUGGGAUUUCAUUUAUUUCAAUUAAUUAUUUCCUUUUAUGCAUAUGAUUUAUAUUGCAUAUAUUAGGAGAUAUUUUUUAAAUGCUUUUCAAAAUUGGAAAUUUUGGAUUUUUUUUUAAAAGAAUAAAUUUUCAUGAAAAGCGUUUCCUUUAUUUAUUUAAUUAAAGAAUUGGUGAUUGCUAAAUUUUAAAUUCCUUUUGGGACUUUCCUAUAUUUGGGAUUAGGUGGUUGAAGCCAAUUUUUUUAGGUUCUCCCACCUUGAGAGAAGAACUAUGAUUGGGAAAGGAAAGUCUAAGGACAAGGAAUAUGAAUGCAAUUCCUACUUAACACAACAAUUUUAAUUCAAUUAAUAAAUAAAAAUGUUGGAAAAUCUCAUGAUGGAAAUUUAUUUUACCAAAAUUAUUUCAAAGUCUCUUAUUUAAAAUAUUAAGUGGGAGUGUAAACCACAACCUCCAAGAUCAAGCCCAUCUUGAUUUUAGGUCCAUCACCAUCCUAAAGAUGGGGUGACCUAAGGAAUCAAGAGAUAUGAACUAUUUUAAAAGGAUAAAGCUAUCUAUGUUUGUAUUAGGAGUGACCAAUCCUAAAAAAUGUAACUCUUCACUUGGUAAGAUUGAUGUUAGGGAUCUUGGUUAUACACUUAACUUAGACAUGAAGUGCUAGAAUCGCCUAAAGUGAUCCUACUUGCAUACACUAAGGGUUGAUCUCAAAAGUAUGCUAAUCAAUACCUUAGGAUAACCUUUUGAGGUUUAAGACAUGUUGAUUAAUUAGAAAGGGUCUCUACUCUAGUAAUAAGAGUCAUGACUUGCCUAAAGUAGGCUUAAUUUCUAUGAUAUUAGAAUUCCUUGCAUGGAUAUAUGUAGUUUGAGAGCACUGCAUUUUUGCUAAAUUAAUUAUUAUCUUUGCCUUGAAUGCUUAAUUUCCUUAGUAAUGCAUGAAAUGUUUUGUCUAUUACAGGAAUCAUGUCUUAUAACCUUAUCACCUUAAUUCUCACUUAUAAUAAAUUGAUUGGAAAAUAAACCUGGACGUAGUGCUCACAACAAAACAACUUAAAUGGGUAACUUAGCAUCUUGCUCUACCCAUUUCCAAUGAGCUAUCCAUGCAAGAAGAGAAAGAUGCUCAUUCCUAGUGGCUAAGAACAGAUAAGAAGGCUCAUUGAAUUAUCCUUGGGUCUUUCAAUAAUGUGUUGCAACAACAACACAUGGACAUUAUCACUACCUAUGAGAUUAUCUUGAGCCUGCAAUAAAUGUUUGGUGAUAAGGGUAGGCUAGCUAGGCAAACUGCCUUAAGGACCAUCAUAAACACCAGGAUGAUAGAAGAAACUCCUAUUAGAGUCUUAUGAUUCAUAUGAUUACACUCUUUAAUAAGAUGGAGAUCCUUGUAGUUGAAAUUGAUAGGGAAUAAAGACCUUAUCAGACUCCUUCAAGUAGUUCAACUCACUUAAUUGCAUAUUACCUUAGUUCACUUGGUGACACCUUAGGUUCAAAUCAUUUAGUUGCAUUCUAGCUUAAAUUCGACUUACUUAAUUGCAUUUUAACUUAGUUUACUUAGUGACACCUUAGGUUCUUAGGUUUAGGUUACUUAGUUGCAUUCUAGCUUAUGUUCGGCUUACUUAGUUGCAUUUUAACUUAGUUACACCUUAGGUUCAACUUACUUAGUCACACUUUAGUGUAGGUUUGGGUCAUAUCAGCUCACUUAGUCACACUUUAAGUUAGUUUACUUAGUGACACUUUAGUUUAGCUCAUCUAGUUACAUUUUAGGUUAGUUUACUUAGUUUAGUUCACUUAAUUGCAUUUUAGGAAUUUUCUUAGUUGCACUUUAGGAUACUUCAUCUUAGUUGCACUUUAGUUCAUUCCAUUUAGGUACAUUUUUAAGUUAGUUCAUCUAGGUGCAUUUUAGGAUAGUUUAUCUAGAUGUAUUUUGAGAAAAAAAUUAGGUGCAUUUUAGGACAACGUUUCAUAUCAUCUUAUAUGGCAUGUGCAUGGGGAACUUAUUUGGGAAGAUAAGAAAGACAUUAAGACAUUGAUAUUUUGGAGAGUUUGAGUCAGGAAUGAUUAUUUUAUGAUAGGAAGACAUGGAUUAAGACAUUGGCAUUUUGGAGAUUUUUUUUUCUUUUUUAAUUUGGAAGGCUCCCAUUGAAGACAUGACUUGAGAAGUGGGAGAGGAGAUUCACACGACUACAUGGAGAUUUUUUGAGAUUGAGGAGAUUUUCAGAUAAGGAAAAAUAAGUCUUUGGAAUGUGGGCAACCAUUAAGAUUUUUUCCAUCAAGAGGAAUCUUAGAGCCACAGUUUUGAAGGAUUCUUUAGGACUUGUAGUUGCCAUAUAUUGGUAUAGGAAGACAUGGAUUGAGAUUUAAUUUUGGAGGAGAGAUACACGGUUUUAGGAAGGUAGAAGGAUUUUUAGGAGAUCAAGGAGAACUUUUAGUGAGGAUUCUCUUAGAUAAAAGGAUGAGGGUUGCCUCUUGCCAUUAAGUUGGGAUUUUUUUUUUUAAGAGACUCAUACACAAGGGAAGAGGGAUUAAGAGCUCACACCUUAAGAAUUAGGGAAGUGAACCCGAUUGUCACAUUAAGAAGUUCACAUAUUAGAGAGAAUGAGGGAGAGUAGGAGAGAUUUUUUGUCAUAUGCUAAAUGGACUUUGGUAUUUUGGGCAUAACUUUCACCAUAAAUAUGCAGAGGGAGAGUAGGAGAGCUUUUUUUUCACAUGCUAAAUGGACUUUGGUAUUUUGGGCAUAACUUUCACUACAAAUAUGGAAAUAUGGUGAUUCUUAAAGCUACGAAAAACUAACAAAAAUGACACAAUUCAUCUAUUGAGAAAUUUUCUUGAAUCAAUCAUUAUCAAGGAGUAAAUCUUGUGACAAGUUUUGGGUGAUCUUUCUCAUCAUAUGCUGAACAAUUUUCCAUAUUUUGAAGAGAACUUUCGCUAUAGAUAUCAAAAUAAGGUGAUUCUUGAAGAUGUGGGAAAAUAAAAGAAAGGGCUAUAGUUCUUAUAUCAACAACUUCUCUUACAUCAAUUGUUAUCAAGGAGAAAAAUAGCUAACAAGAUUCAGGUAUACGAUUAGCCUAAUUGGAGGAUUCCUUAGAUGUGGAUGUUUUGGAGAUUGAGAAGAGAAGAAGGUAGUGAUUACACAUAGAAGGGGGCUCACACACCAUUGGAAAGUGGAGUUAGAAGAAGAAAUAUGAGAUCUAAAAAAGAAAGGUGUAAUCUUAAGAGACAAAGGUGAAGUCUUAAGAGGCUAGGAGAGGUAUGUUCAUUUUUUUUAAUUUUUUUGCACUUCUUGUUUAGGAUAAUCUAUUUAGCUUCCUCUUUUUCUUCCAUCCUAUUUGGAUUUAGGUUUAUCGUUGGUUGGUGUGGAUGCAUAGGCUACACAGAUUAUUGAUUUCAAUUGAUUGAUGGUUGUUGAGGAUGAUUGCUUCUUGAUGUUAGGGAUUUACGGAUUUUCUUGGUUUUCUUUCUCUAUUCCUAAGCUUCUUUGAUUAUCAUAUGGUUUUAUUUCUUUAUUCUUCAUCAAGAUUCAUUUUUUUUAUAUAUAUUUUAAGUUCAUCUUAUGUUUCUUGGUCAUAAAAAAAAAAAUCAUCUUUUGAAAACACAUGCAAUCAUGUUUCAUUCAAUAUGCAUAUUUGGAAAAAAAAAAAAAAAGUUUUUGAUUUUUGGGUUCUCACAUGAAUAAAAAUUCAUGACUCCAAAUAAUGAAGUAAUUCUUGAUUCUCAUAUGCUUCCUCAUGAUUAUGAAAGAUUGGGAAAUAUAGAUUAAAUUCAUGUAUAUUGAUUUGGACCUUGGUGAAGUCCAACAUUCAAAAUUUUUUUUUUUUCAAACAAAAGUUUAUUGUCACUGUUUGUUUGACUCACUGGUUUUUGGAAUAAAAAUUAGAAUUAAAUGGCUUAGGGUUUUCAUAAAAUUAUUUUUAUCUUUAUAUGGUGUUCUUAACUUCUUAAAAUUGUCAAACAAAAUUUAUUUAAGCUAAAAAUCAUUUUUAAUUGGAAGAUUUAAAUUGAUUUUUCCAUAGGUUUAGUUUUAAACCUUUUUUGGCCAUUUGAAAUGAUUCUACAAAUUUAAAUUAUUUCUUGAGUUCCAUACUUCUUGCUGAUAUUUUUCUCUUAAUAUACACUUCUUGAAAUUAAUUUUAUGAUUUUUUUUUGUUGAAAAUCGAUUCCUUAAGAGGGGAGAAAUUAUUUUUUUCUUAUAUCUAUUGCAUUAAACUUAUUCUAUAGUCGGGAUUGUUUGACUUAAUUUAAAAAUCCUUCUUAUGUGAUUAAAUCAUAUUGUUAUUUUUUUUUUUUUGUAAAAUAAGCAUAUUGAAUAUAUUUAAAAAAAUUUCUCUUGAUUUUAUCAUGCUUGUAGAUUAGUCAAAUAAAUUUGUUUUGAAAUGCUAUCGAAAUUUGCUAUAGUUUUUUUACCAAUGUGCUUGAGAUGAAAUCUGGGAUUGAAUGAGAUACAAUUUAAUAAUUUGACCUUUUGAUUUGUUAUUUAGACAUAUUAAAGAUUUUGUCCAAUUUUUUUUAUGACAAAAUUCCACUUCUAGAUAUUUUUUAGGAUUUAUUUUGCAAGCUCCUUUAUUUUGAUUGUAUGUUGAUGGUUUUGUGUAGGGUCCUUAAUAUAAUGAAAUCUAGUAUUGAUUGACAUGUGAUUGAAUAAUUUGGGUUCUUGUAUUGUAAUCUAGACAUGAUAAAGAUGUCCCCAUUGUCCAAUUUUUUUUAUGAUAAAAUUCCAUUUAUAUGUGUUUUUUUAGGAUUUAUUUUGUAAGUGUCCUUGUUAUGACCAAUACUGAAUGUUUUGUAAAUUGUUGAUAAAUUUGAUUUAAUCUAGAUUAAUUGAGGGUUGAUUAAUUUAUUUUCCAAUUAGGUUGCUUUUAGACACUUUGAGGAUGAUGCCUAAUUUUUAUUUUGAUAAAAUACCAUGUAUAAAUGUUUUAUUUUGAUUUAUAUUAUGAACUUUUCAUUUUUGCCCUAUUACUUAUUGUUUUGCCUAUUUUUGAUAAUUCACUUUUUUAUGCACAAUUGUGAGUUUUUUUUUUAAAUCUUGAUAUCCAUUAGAUAUUGGAUUCUUAGGAUCUCUAGCUCCAAGAGAUUAGGGAACAACUCGACUGCAUCACAUCUUGGAUCCACUCUCAUGGCACUUUGAGUUUUGCCCCUCCCCCACCACCUGACGAUUGAUGAUUAUUUGUAUGUUAUUUUGAUAAAGAUUGAUGUUAGGUUUGUUCUUGUUUUAAAAAAAAAAAUUCUCUGGGAUGUUGUUUUAAUGACGAUUGAUGUUAGGUUUGUUCUUGUUUUAAAAAAAAAAAUUCUUUGGGAUGUUGUUUUAAUGAAGAUUCAAAAAAAAUUCUUGGGAUCUUAUUUUGACAGGUUUGAGUGAGAUUAAAAUCUUAGUUUGAGAGUUUUGGGUAUCUUAUUAUAAUCAUUUUGUUUUGUUUCAAAAUUGUCAAAGGGAGAUAUCGUUGGUGCAUUAAUUUAGGUUUACAAUUUUGCUUCAAAGAUAAUUAAUUUGAAACUACUGCACUAUCACUAAGUCUUACAUCAACAUGUUCAAAUUAAAGAAACUGAAUUUGGAAAUAAGGUAAGUAUCAUGGUUUGAAAUGUUGUAAAAUAUUAGUGAUAUUGUCGAUAUUUAGCUUAUCAAGGGGAGAUUCCACACUGAAAGUUGGUCAGUCACUUUUUGCCGAUUUUUCGGAAAUAUUGCUGAAAACGUUUUUGCCGAUAUUUCGGCAAAUUUCCCGAUUUUUUUUAAAAAGUUAGAGCAAUCAAGUUGGGUCAAUUCUUCAAAAUUUUUGCCUACAGCUAGGUGGAUUCCAACCCAAGUCUUUUGAAUGCAUCAUCAUUUAUUUUACAUUAUUGAAAGCAUUUAAAUUAAAUAAAUUAUAGUUUUAAUAUUAAAUGUAUCAUCAUUUAUCUCAUUAAUCCUAUUUUAAAAAAUUAUUAUCACUUCACUUUUUAAUUUUUUAUAUUUAUUCUUUUAAUUUUAUUUAAUUUUGAAUGUUUUUAUUUUAAAAUAUUAAAAAUAUAAAUUUGUUCAAAAAAUUACUAAAAUAAUAAUAAUAAUAAUAAUAAUAAUAAUAAUAAUAAUAAUAAUAAUAAUAAUAAUAAUAAUAAUAAUAAUAAUAAUAAUAAUGAAGUUCUAUAUUUCAAAAAUUAAAAUUAAUUUGAUAAAAUAAAUAAUAAAUUAUUAAGACAUAUAUAUAUCCCUACGGAAAUUUUGACCAUAUCCAUUUCAAUUACACUUAUAAAAUAACUUUAACAUGUAUAUUUUUACUUUUUUUUUUUUUUGAGUUUUUUCAAACAUUUUUAUGAAUUUUGAAUAAUUUUCGUUUCAUCUAUCCACCAAUAUUUUACCGAUAUUUAUGAUAAAUCUGUAAAAUCCAAGUACUGAUAUAUUUGUAUUUACCAAUACGCAAACUAUGAUAAGUGUGUGAUUUUAGAUUAGUUAAUAAAUGACAAAGUUGAAUUUAAUAUAAAUUCAAGAUAUUUAUCUUUCUAAUGAUUUUUUUUUUUAAGUAUUUGCUUAAAAAAUUCCCAUUUUUCCAACAUAUGAUAGGGUGAAAAUUUUGUAACACAUGAUACAUUAAAUAAGAGUGUACAAGGUUGGGUUAGGUUAUACUCGAACAAUUUUCAUCUAAAGCUACCCAAGUUGAAGCCAAGCCCUUCAAGGCCAGACGGUCCUGGGCAGGACUUCGGUGGUUAGUUCCCAACCUAAGCAGGGGCUUAUGCCUAACCUAAGCUCGGGAUAUUGGAGUAAGCUCGGCCAGUCUACAAAUCUGGCUUGAGUUUCUAAUGCUUUAGGGCAAGACUCAAGUAGGUUUUGGGACAUCAAACUUAAACAUUUCUAUUACCCUACUUGGUAAAAGAUAUGGACAAACAAGUUCCUCAGUUAGAAGUUUGAUUGGAAUUCAACUGGAUUAAUAAACUACAUGACACUGUGCUAUUGAUACGUGCCAAUUGGAAUGCAAAUACGAUGAGAAUGAGAGUAUGUUUGGUAUGUGGCAAUAAGAAAUAUGAAUACAUAUUUUAUUUUCCUUAAAUAGAAAUAAAUUUGUUGAUUUCAAUUAUUAUGUUUUGGAUGUACUUAGGAAUAUAAGAUUAAGACCAUUAUUUAUUUCUCUUUCAACAUUCAUUGAUAACUAAAAUGAGAACAAAAAAGGAAAAGAAAUUAAUAGUAAUACCCUUACAUAUAAUUUAAAAUAUUAUUUUUAUAUUUUUGUUUUAAAAGAAUAAAGGAAAAGAAAUUAACAGUAAUACCCUUACAUAUAGUUUAAAAUAUAUAUAUAUAUUUUUUAUUUUUGUUUUAAAAGAAUAUGUUUUGAGAGUUUUUUUACUUAAUAAUAAGACUAAGAAAAAUAAUAUUUAAUUAAUAAAUAGAAAUUAACCAAAAAAAAGUCAUAUAAGUAUAAUGGAAAUAAAGUGGUAAAAUAAUAAUUUAAACAUGUGUAUCAUUUUUUGUAUUGAGAGGAUCGAAAUGCCUCGUGUUGAACAUCAAUUGAUAUCUUGAAAUCUUGAAAUCCCACUUAUAAGUGAAAUUUUAUUUCUAUUAAAAUUGUUUUUUUUAUUCUAUUUGUAUUAUCAUUCAAGUUAUCCAAUCAAAGGAAUGGAUGGAAAGAGAAAUGAAAUUUUCAUUCACACUCUUCAUUUUUAUAUAUCAAUUAAACAUGACCCGAAAGAGAAUCAUAUAUGUAAAAAAGAGGAAUUAAAAUUUUAGUGAAAGCAAGAUUUGAUUUCCCUAUUAACAAAUUUUUUUAUUUGGAAUCCAAUUCUAAAAGCCAAUUCAAAGAUAUUAAUGAAUUGGAAAGAAAUUGAUUUCCCAUUUACAUUCUUUAUUCCGAUGUUUUAAUACGUAACUUAGAGUAUAUAUUGAAAUAAGGAUAACAAUAUAAUUAAGAUUUAAUUAUGAAGUCACAUUCAAAUUCCGAUGAAUUUGAAUAUUAUCAAUCAUAAGGUGUUUAUUUUUUUGGCCUUUUAUUAAAAGUAAUUUGCUUUUAGAAUUUAGGUUGUUUGUUUAUUUAAUUUUUAAUGACUUAUUACUAAAUUUUUAAAAUUUUUUGGCUAAAUGAAAAAAACCAUGGUUUUUUUAAAUAGAGAAAGCUAGUUUUUGAAACCUCCCCUCAAAGCCCGACGCUCGACCUUAGCCCACCCAUCCCCUCAAAGCUUUCUGCAACUGGCAUCCUCAACCCUCAGCUCAUCCCCAAAGCGGUAAUUUCUUCAUUCUCCUCCUCCAUCGCUCUCCAUCCGAGACUACACAGUUGGAAAGACGCUUCACUUUCAAUCGACAUUGUUGAUCUGAUUGAAGGUAACCUCAACCCAAAUUUAUUUUGGAUUUUUGGAUUUUAAUAGAGCAGUCGAGUGUCAUUUCCCAGUGCUUCUCUCUCUAAAACUCUCAUUCUCUACUCUGCUUCACAUAUGCAAGUGCUCUAUUUAGGGUUUUUGAGUUCACGUGUUGCAGGUCCUAAGAUAAUUUUAGGAUUUCUAGGCUCUGUUAGAGGAGUUGUGUGGGUGUUUCUUUUGUUUGAGUUCAUUUUUAAGAAAAGAUUUAUAGGCUAUUGAUUUUGUUUAAGAUUACAAAGAAUGUGGGUAUCAGGUAUUUGGGUUUUUUUGUCUCAACAAGACCAAAUCAGGAGUAUUCAAUGGGUGGUUGGGAGUUUAAUUUCUAUCUUUUGCAACCCUUUUGAUUUAGUUGUUCAGACUCUCUUACACCAUUUCUCUGAUUGGUAUGUGGAUGCUUUGUUUGUUGAAUUUUACUUGGGUUCUGUUUAUGCAUCCUGUCCUUGUGAUCGACUUCUGAAUUUUUGGCUUUGGUCCAUGGAUAUCCAUCCUUUUAAACUCUCUGAUGAUCUGGCUGUAGUGAGACUGUAGACUCUUAUAACAUGUGCCUAUAUUUUCACAUAUAAUCUAUGGAAUGUUUCUUGGAUUCUGUUUGAUGGGUUUAACGAACAGGGUUAUAAGCUGCCCUGUCUAUGGGUAUGGUUUCUAUUCCAUCUUUGUAAAGUUCACAGUGAUGCACUGUUGUUGGAUUUGUUUUGUUGCUUUUGUAGUCAUCAUCUAAGUGUAGAUGUGUACCUAGAGAGAAAAAUCAAGGCUGUUUGGCCGUUAAUAUGCCACAUAAUUAGUCUAUCUUUCAUUCAAGUUGCUUUUGAGAUUGUUAAGUGUCAUUGUCAACCUUUCUACUCAAAUACAUGAAAUUAAUUUAAGCAUAGCUUGUCCAUUAUUAAACUUCAGAAUUUUCCCAUGUGAGAAAGCUGGAAUGUCUAUUAUCCUUUGUUUAUGGGGAAAUAAAAUUCUGGAAAGGAAGGUCUUAAUGCUGUUGGAUGAGAUGCAUAUAAAAUGGAGAGCUGCCUUACUUCGUUUUGGAGGAUGAGAUUUUAUCAACAAUCUAUUUGUUAAAAGGAAGUUCUUUGUUUCAUCUCUUCCUUUGGUAGCUGGCAGUGGAAGAGAAAGCUGUUGAAAACAUGAUGAGCCAGCUAAUGAUCUCUUAAUCCUUUUGAGUGUGUAAUUGUGGACAUAGCAACCUGAUGUUAAUAUGUCUGCUUGUGUUGAGAGAAGGGCUUUGGUUCCAAUAUGGACUUAACACAUCUUAGUCCUUGGCUGGCCCUCCCAUCACCAUCUUGGGACUGAUUUGUUGGUCUAGGAUGUUGGCUAGAGCAGCAGGCUUGCCAAGGUGGAAUUGACAGGCAUGAAAUCUGGUAGUUGAAAUGAGAGGGUGGAGAGAAUGACAUGUGUCUGUGAGUGACAUGUUAUUACCAGAGGCUUUCAUGUCAUCAAAUGGUAAUUAAUACGGGAAUGCACCUUCUUGGAGCACCCUUAAAGGAUCUAUUUCCACAAAAAAAAAAAAAAAAGAACUGGGAACUUGCUCUCCCUUUGUUUUUUUACUCUUUUCUCUUUCAUAUCUUAUACUAGAGCACUUGUUGUAGUCCAAGUGUACCUGCUGUAUACAGAGGUUAUGCUCUCUUUGGCACAGUUCUCAAUCUAUUUAUUUAUAUAUAUAUGUAAGAUCAAUUGGAUUGAAAAGGGCAGAGGUUCGCUUUUGAGAUCUAAACAAUAUUCUCCCUGUUUCGAGGUAGGGCUUGAAACUCCUUUUGCUUUUAGAAUUGAAACAAUAGAAAUAAAAUUUUAAAAAAACAAACAACUUAAUACUUAAUGCUAUUAAGCAUUAUUUAGUAUUAAGUUAAAAAUAAGUUCUAUUUAGAAUUAAGCCAAAAAAACAAACGCCACAGCCUAAGAGUUGUAUGAAUUUAGGUUAAGUGCAAUUUUCUGCAUGUUGAGAAAUUUAAAAAUAAGUUAUCGAUUGAGAAAUUUUCUUGAAUCAAUCAUUAUCAAGGAGUGUGACAAGUUUUGGGUGAUCUUUCUCAUCAUAUGCUGAACAAUUUUCCAUAUUUUGAAGAGAACUUUCGCUAUAGAUAUCAAAAUAAGGUGAUUCUUGAAGAUGUGGAAAAGUAAAAGAAAGGGCUAUAGUUCUUAUGUUGAGAACUUCUCUUACAUCAAUUGUUAUCAAGGAUAAAAAUUGCUGAUGAGAUUCAGGUAUAAGAUUAGCCUAAUUGGAGGAUUCCUUUGAUGUGGAUGUUUUGGAGAUUGAGAGGAAAAGAAGGUGGUGAUUGCACAUAGAAGGGGGCUCACACACCAUUGGAAAGUGGAGUUAGAAGAAGAAAUAUGAGAUCUAAAAAAGAAAGGUGUAAUCUUAAGAGACAAAGGCGAAGUCUUAAGAGGCUAGGAGAGGUAUGCUCAUUUUUUUAAAUUUUUUUUUGCAUUUCUUGUUUAUGAUAAUCUAUUUAGCUUCCUCUUUUUCUUCCAUCCUAUUUGGAUUUAGGUUUAUCGUUGGUUGGUGUGGAUGCAUAUGCUACACAGAUUGUUGAUUUCCAUUGAUUGAUUAUUGUUGAGGAUGAUUGCUUAUUGAUGUUAGGGAUUUAUGGAUUUUUUUUUUGUUUUCUUUCUCUAUUCUUAAGCUUCUUUGAUUAUCAUAUGGUUUUAUUUCUUUAUUUCUUCAUCAAGAUUCAAUUUUUUUUUUUAUAUUUUAAGUUCAUCUUAUGUUUCUUGGUCAUAAAAAAAAAAAUCGUCUUUUGGAAAACAUGCAAUCAUGUUUCAUUCAAUAUGCAACUUUUGCAAAGGGGAUGGAGGAAUGAGAAAGACCUAGAGAGAGAGUGUGUGCGAGAGAUGGAGAAGAAAGCUGGGAUCAGGGUGGGAGCAGGAUCGCAGCGGGUUUCCUACAGUCAGGGGUUCGUAGAAGGAGCUUUGGGGUAGAAUCGAAAAUUUUUGAGGUAGAGACAGAGAGAAAAAAAGGGAGGACGCAAAUCUUCAUAGUUGAAAGAAAGGGAGGUGUCUCCUCUUGGGUAAAGUUGGGACCGGCGAGUCUAGGGCCGCUCAUGGAAGGCCUGACCUUCUGCAUCAAGGAUACGAGGACCGGACAUUGGGAAAAAUUUUGGCAAGAGAGUGGGAGAACCUUCUCUUUAACGCACGGCGAAAACAAGGGGGGAUGCUUCCUACGCCUGGGUGUCACGGAUCGGGAAAAGAAAAGAUUUAACAUCUUUGUACCCAAAGGCAAAGGAACAAAAGGGGGUUGGGCCCUGUUGGUUGAGGUGCUGCGUGAGAUGGAGCCUGGCUCAGAUGGUCAGAGGAGUCAGCAAGUGAAGGAGAAGUGUUGGAGCCCCAUGUUGGGAAAGUCCUUCGCGGACGUGGUGAAACAGAAUCGUAGUUGUGAAGAGGUGGUGCGGGUAAAGAUCGUUAAUAGGCCAUCAGGUGGAAGAUUGGAGAAAUUGGCUCAGUGCCUUGUCGGAAGCUGGGACCCGAUGCUAGGAAGGGGUGACGAUCUGCGAAGUUGGGGGACCCAAAUGUCAAAGUUGUGGGGUUUGAAGGGCAACUUAGGCUUGGCCAAGUUGGAAGACGGCAAAGCCCUAUUGGAAUUUGAGUUAAGAGUAGAGGCUGAGAAAGCCCUAAAAAAUGGUGUCAUAUCGAUCAGUGGCUGCGACGUGCGACUGGAGAAAUGGAGCCAAAGGACGGGAUGCGUGAUGGAGGAAGAGAAGAAGAAAGAGGCUUGGGUGAGAAUACUUGGCCUACCUAUCUCCUUAUGGGAUCGGGACACCCUCUGUAAGAUAGGAGAGGGAUGUGGGGAAUUUUUGGACAUUAACGCCAAAACGGAGAGGAUGGAGGAGUUGCAGUGGGCUAGGAUUCGGGUAAGGAUCAAAGACGAUAGAAUCCCUAAUAUGGUGGACAUAUGGGUGGAGAACACGUGUUAUUCGGUGGCCUUGUGGUGGGAAAUCAGGCCGUCGUUAAGAAAAUUGCAGGCCGAUGACAAAGGAAGAACCCUCGCAGCUGCUAGAGAGGGAGAAGGUGAGUUUCAGACACGCGAGGGCAAGUGCGUGAUGGAGGAGGAAGGGGGCUCAAGGCUCGAGACCCAGACGCAGGUGGUGGAUGGGAUGUGGAGGCUGACAGCUGGGGCGGGGCAACCCAUGGACUGUCAUCACGGGUUGGGUGGGUCGCGCCUAGGGAUUCAGGGUAUGGAGCGUAUGCAAGGCGGGCCUUUAGUGAUGGGCCUUUUGGAGAGACCAUGUGGGCUUGGGGGCCUUACAAUUCAGUCCUCUUUGGUGGAUCAUGUCGGGCCAAAAGAGUGGGUGGAAAGGCCCAGAAUCUGGAAGCCCAAGGAAGGUGCUGGACUGGUGGCCGAAGGCCCAUCGGUGGAGACCAGUCUCCAUUCUAAUGUGGCCCAGAUUUGUGGCCCAAGUAGCUCGAGGAUCCCAGCCCCUGAAGAUCCUUUGCUCAGGGAGAAGGAUGACAUGCGCAGGCUAAGCGGGGCAGAGCUCAUCCAAAUGGAGAGAUCGUCUACUGAUCUCGCCUUCGCGAUGAGGUACGAUAAGGUUUCGGAUUGCUUGGUUUCUGGGACCCCUUCUCUUCUUUCUCCUUUUUUCGGUCGGACUCCAGUGGGGGAGUAUUGCGACUUUUCUGGGGAUGACAAAGAGCGUGAUGAGGGAGAAAAUCCGAUCCAAAUGAUCAUGGGAUCGAAGUCCCCUACGGGUGAGAAUGUCGACUGUUGGGAUCUGGUGGAGGUAAACAAAAAUACAACUGUAGAUGGUGGAAAGGAGAUGGCCUUAGACCAAAUAGUACCACAUGCAUCUAAGGCAAAGGGGGAGCUUAGCUGGGAAAAGAGUGAUCUGGCCAAGUUCAACAAUUUCUUGGGAUUUUCGACAGAGGGUCUGGAGAAGGACAUUAUGGAAUUCUUGGUCAAAAUUCGUAAGAGAAGAAAAAGAGUUCAUAGCAAAUCCCUGUUGGAGAAAACAAAAUUCGAGAGAGAACUGAGAAGAUUAGAGUGCUCCAUUAACUAUGAAGGGGGAAAGAAACAAAAUGGUGGUGAGCAAGCAAGGGGGUGCCAGAUUACGGAAGUCUAAUGAAGCUACGAAUCCUUAGCUGGAAUGUUCGUGGAGCUAAUGACAGCUCCAAGAGAAGGAUUAUUAAGGCAAUGAUCAGGAGUCAGAGGGUGGAUCUCUUUUGUCUUCAGGAGACCAAAAUUCAUUCAUUAUCGGAGGGUCUGGUGAGAAGUUUGGGCGCUGGCAGGUGGUCUAAUUGGGUGGCCUUGGAUGCAGUGGGCUCUACAGGAGGGAUGUUGGUGUGUUGGGAUAAAAGGUCGCUGGAGGUGAUGGAGACGGAGGUGGGGAAGUUUUCUGUCUCGUGUAGAUUUAGAAAUGUGGAAAAUGGGCUAACCUGGUUUUUUACUGGUGUGUACGGGCCUUUUUCGAAAGGUGAGAGAGAAUGCCUGUGGGAAGAGCUAGGGGCGAUUAGAGGCUUGUGGGAAGAUCCAUGGUGUUUAGGGGGUGACUUCAAUGUCAUUCUGUCCCAGAGGGAAAGGAAUAGACAGGGAAGGCUGACUGGGGCUAUGAGAAUUUUUGCCCAAACUGUUGAUGAAUUAGAGUUGAUGGAUCUCCCUAUGCAAGGGGGUGCUUUCACUUGGAGUGGGGGGAGGAAUAACCAAUCUUGGGCUAGGCUAGAUAGAUUUUUGGUGACACAAUAGUGGCUGGAGAUGUUCAGUGGGGUCGCCCAAUGUAGACUGCAGAGACCCACUUCUGACCAUUUUCCUAUUUUGCUGAUGGGUGGUGGGUUGAGGAGAGGUCCUACUUCGUUCAGAUUUGAGAACAUGUGGCUGAAAGUGGACGACUUUAAAGGUCUUCUCCGGGAGUGGUGGCAGGGGAUUGAGGUGAGAGGAAGGGCCAGUUUCAGGUUGGCCUCCAAGCUGAAAUUAUUAAAGCUAAGGAUUAAAACCUGGAAUAGGGAGGUAUUUGGAAGGCUGGAAGUUAACAAAAAUUCUGCCCUUCAGCAAAUGGAAUAUUGGGAUGGAGUGGAGAGUGAGAGGUGUAUGUCUUUAGCUGAAACUGAGCAGAAAAAGGAAGCCAAGGACGCCUUUCACAAAUGGGUGUUGUUGGAAGAAGUCCAUUGGAGGCAGAAGUCAAGGGAGCUGUGGCUUAAGGAAGGGGAUAGGAACACCGGCUAUUUCCAUCGGAUGGCUAAUGCCCAUCGGAGGAACAAUUCCCUGGACAGGAUAAUGAUUAAUGGUGAGUGGCUGACUGAGGACCAAGAGGUGAGGGAGGGGAUUGUGACUGCCUUCCAGAAUUUCUUAUCAGAAGAACCGGGGUGGAGAGCAGAUAUUGAGGGGCUGCACCUAAAUCAAAUUACUCCUCGGGAAGUUGAAGACUUGGAGAAGCCUUUUACUGAAGAGGAAGUCCACGGUGCCUUGAUGGAGAUGAGGGGAGAUAAAGCUCCAGGACCGGAUGGAUUCACAAUGGCUUUUUGGCAAGAAUGCUGGCCGUUUGUGAAGGAGGAGAUGAUGGAUCUUUUUAAGGAAUUCUUUGAGUAUGGGUCGUUCUCCAAAUGUCUCAACAAUACCUUUCUGGUCCUUAUCCCAAAGAAAGGAGGUGCUGAAGACUUAGGGGAUUUCAGGCCCAUUAGCUUGCUUGGGGGGUUGUAUAAAAUCUUGGCCAAAGUCCUAGCGAAUAGGCUAAAGAAGGUGCUUGAUAGGGUCGUUUCGGCAGACCAGAAUGCUUUUGUGAGAGGGAGACAGAUUCUAGAUGCGUCUCUUGUGGCUAAUGAGGUGAUUGACUACUGGCACAAAAGGAAAGAGAAAGGGUUGAUCUGCAAGUUGGACAUUGAAAAAGCCUAUGAUAGUUUAAACUGGGAGUUUUUGAUGAAGGUGCUUCGGAAGAUGGGAUUUGGGUCGCGUUGGAUGGAUUGGAUGUGGUGGUGUAUCUCCACAGCUAAAUUUUCCAUCUUAAUCAACGGGGUGCCUGCUGGUUUCUUUCCAAAUUCUAAGGGGUUGAGGCAAGGAGACCCCCUUUCUCCGUAUCUCUUCAUCUUGGGCAUGGAAGUUCUUAGCACACUGUUUAGAUGGGCUGGUGAGGGGGGUUUCCUUUCUGGUUGUAGGCUUCGGGGGAGAGGGGGUGUGGAGAUGAACGUUUCGCACCUUCUCUUUGCUGAUGAUACAAUCAUUUUUUGCAAAGCGGAAAGAGAGCAAGUUUCCAAUCUAAGCUGGAUCUUGGCAUGGUUUGAGGCGGCUUCGGGUCUCAGAAUUAAUCUUGCUAAGAGUGCCCUUAUUCCUGUUGGGCAGGUGGAUGAGUUGGAGGAGAUGGCGGCUGAGCUAGGAUGCAGAUUGGGAGCAUUACCCACUGUCUAUUUGGGGCUGCCCCUAGGAGCCCAUCAUAAAACUUCUUCUUCUUGGGAUGGGGUGGAAGAGAGAAUGAGAAGAAGAUUAGCCCAAUGGAAAAGACAAUACAUCUCGAAGGGGGGGAGAAUUACUCUUAUCAAAAGCACUUUGGCCAGCAUACCCAUCUACUUUCUAUCCCUUUGUGGACCCGCAUUUUUCACGUGCGUCCCCACUCGAUCGGCGAGACUCGUUUUUUAUUUGUGAAAAUUUGAUUUUUGAAAAAAAGUUGGAGUCGCCACCUAUUUUAUUUUUAUUUUGAAGGGAAAAUAAAACAAGAAAGAAAAACCCUAAAAAGUGACUCCAUAGUUUUGGAAAAAGCAUGUCUUUGAGAAACCCGAGUCUAAGUCCGGGGAUCAGGUUACUUAUUGGGAAGGUACCUCUAGGAGGUAGCACCCCUCUAAGCCCUAAAAAGGUCUCUACUAAUUAAGUUAAGGGGAAUAUGGCAAUUAAUCGGUUAAUUAUGGAUACCUAAGUAGGCUAGGUGAUUUCAAAAAAUUUGCAUGCUAAACAAGAUCAAAUCACAAUAAAGGAGAGUUAGGGCGCGUACCUGGACUGCCUCUCAAGCGCUAUCAUAAAACAUCAGAGUUAGUAUAAAAGUAUAACACACAACAUGUAUUUAAUCAUAGUGAAUCAAACAUACAUCUAAACACCUAAGGAUUAUCAAACAUAUGCAUACUUCACAGUGACAUGAUUGUUUACAAAAUUUAGAAAGUAGGUGAUAGGGGGGGCGUACCUGGAUAGCAUAGAUAACUUACAAUGGCUUCCAUAAGACAUGAGGGAUUAGAUAAUAAUAAAAUAAAGAAACCCUAGCAUGCUUAGCAUAACAAAAAUUAUCAAAGUAUAUGAAAACAUUAAUUAUCACACACAUCUUAUAUACAAUUCCUAAAAAAGAUAGACAUAAUUUCAACAAAUGACAAAAAUGGCAACAAAAAUAAUUUUUGAAAAGAUUUUCUUAUGUAGGGGUUUCACCAAUUCCCCAAUUGAUAUACACGAAUUUAGCUCAGAAUUAUCCCAUUUAUUUGGGACCACAAACUUUGAUUCGUGUUUUAUUCAAAACUGGAAUUUUAUUUGAAAGAUGUGAACCGAUCAAAACAUGGUUGCACAUUAUUUUAAGAAAAUGAGAUUUUUUUUUUUAUUCCAAGGACUCUAAAUGAAAUUUUUUUUAAAAAUAGGUUUUUAAAGGGAUCUUUUAAGGAGAGUGUUGGAUUUCAAAAUAAAAGAAAUUAAUUUGAAAAUGACAAGACAUAAGGAACAAAAUACCAAGCAAAACAAAAGUGAUUAAAAUCGCAAAGUAGAGUUUUUGACAACUGAGAAAAUUGAAGUGGUGAGAAUGGAGGUCAAUCUUCCCUAUUUUCCGAUGGCCUCCGAAAAGUAAAUUUUACUAGAGAUUACCAAAGCAAUAAACUACUCAAACUUAGAUCAAAUAAGCUAACGAGAUACCCACCAAGAAUUAAUGACGAAUAUUCAAGAAACACAUCUAUUAAGAAUAAAAAUCGAGAAUUAGUAUGAGAUCAAUUAACCACCCAAACACAUCUAGAUUGAUUAACAUGAGACAAAUUAAAUCAAAGCAAACAAUAAUUUUCAAACAUAGAAUUAACUUUAUUAAUGAAGUAAUUUUAUAUAAAAUACCUAAAUCGAAUAGAUGAGUGAAACUAAAUCAGGGUAAACUAAAGGCAUGAAUUUUCAAAUAUAGAAUUGAUUUUAUUAAUGACCUAAAAUUAUACAAACUCCUCAAAUACUUAAAAUGAAUCAAUUUAAACAAAAGGAAACUAAAACAAAAUAUGGAUUCAGGGAAUCUAAUUUCAAAAUAAACUUACAUUAUUAAAAUGAAACCUAGGCUUAAAAUGAAUUAAACACUAAUUAAAGUCAAUCUAAGCUUAAUUCUUAACAUACAUGAUCAAUUAUUUUAACAAACUAAAAUUUUACCUUAACCACAAAUUAAAUUUAAAAAAAAAAAAACUACCUGAGACUAAAUUUCUAAGCUAUAAAAUUAAACUCAUAAUCAAAUGAAUAAGUUGAUGACACAAACAAGUAAAUACGAAUGAAAUAAAAUAUGAAGUAAACGAAAUAUGAACUCAAGGAAUUAGGUAAUAUAUGUAUGUAUAUUUUUUUAAACAAACUUACGUUAGUAAAAUAACUUUGAGCCUAACAAACAUUUUUAUCACUAAUCAAGGCAAGUUUAAAAUAUAAUACUUAACACAUAAAAAUCAAUCAUUUCAACAUACUAUAAUUUUAACUAAAUCUAAAGCCAAUCCAAACCACCUUCAAUAGAUUUUUUUUAUUUUUUUAUUUUUAACUAAAUUUUUAACCCAUAGGUUCAAUCUUAAUAAUAAAUAAAUAAAUAAGUUACAAAGCAUUAGAUUAGUAUCAAAUAAAUAAAUAACAACUAAUAAUUAAAUGAAUCAAAACUAAAUUAAAUAAAAAUCAAAUUAUAUAUAUAUAUAUAUUUUCUUAAAGUAAAACUACAUAUAAAAAAUAUAUUUUCCGAAUUUAAUAUAAUAAAUCAAAAAAACUAACCAUAAACACAAUUCCCAUGUUGCCAUAUUAAAAUGAAACCAAUAUAUGCCGGCACUAGUAAUAAAAGUAGAUCCACUUACCUAUUAUAAUAAUUAUUCCACUAAAGAAAAUGUCCAAACUUGCAUUGUUACAUAAACCUAAAUAACAAUUCUAGUCUUUUAAAACUCAUGCUACCAUAUUCAAAAUCAAUACGUGCCAAAACUUGUAAAAGUCAAUCCACUUACCAUUAUAAUAAUAUUUCCACUUAAAUAAAUAUUCAAACUUGCACUUUACAUGAAACACAUGCUGCCACAUUCAAAAUCUAUACGUAAAUGCUAAAGCUAAUAAAAAAUAGGUCAACCAAUCAACCCAAUAUAAUAAUCCAACUUAAAAUAAACUAAACUUUAGAUAUUAGUGAAAACCCAUAUGUAUAUAAAACUAUCUUACCUAACGGCUAUGGUGAUAUCAAAGCAAGGUGGUGUGCAGCUGGUGCGGUGAAGUUAUAGGAGCAAGUCUGGAUGGGUGUGGCUGAUUCCUCUCUCGUCUCCCAAUGAUGCGGCUGUUGAGGAAAGUUCCUCAAAGAUGCGGCUGUUCCAGAAGUUCUCAAGGUGCGGGUGAUGCUGAAAGUUCUUCAAAGAUGCAGCUGUUCCAGAAGUGCUCUCAAAGGUGCGGAUGAUGGCUGAAAGUUCCUCAAAGACGCGGCUGUUCCAGAAGUUCUCAAGGUGCGGGUGAUGCUGAAAGUUCUUCAAAGGUGCAGCUGUUCCAGAAGUGCUCUCAAAGGUGCGGAUGAUGGCUGAAAGUUCCUCAAAGACGCGGCUGUUCCAGAAGUUCUCUCAAAGGUGCGGAUGAUGGCUGAAGGUUCCUCAAAGACGCGGCUGUUUAUUUCUCCAAGUGGCAGCCGUGUGAAUGGAUCUCCUUUACGUGGAGAUGUGUGUUGAAUCUUCCUUCAAAGGAGUGGUGCGGCUGGUUCUCGAUGCAUGGUGCGGCUAUGGUGAGUUCCUCUUCAACUUGCAGCCGUGUGGGUACCUUUGGAGAGGAAUGAAAUCUCAGUGCAUGGUGCGGCUCCUUCAAUGCAUGGUGCGGUUGCCUCCACUUUCUUUCUCAAUGGUUUUCCUCACGUCCCAGAAUGGUGCCGCUGCACCCUCUCAUCUUCAAAAGAAAUGACCUUGCUCUUCCUUAAGGGGACGGCUGCAUCUGUUCUUGUCUUUCAAUGGUGCGGCUACACCUUGCACUCCUCUACCGACAGAAAGAACCCACUCCUUUCAGACCACCUCUCUCCUUUUUUUUUUUUUUUCUUUGGUGCAGUUGUCGAUCUCUUUUUCUCCUCUCCAGCCACAGUGAUCGAAGACACCGUAGGAAAGGUUCUUCUCUCUGAUCUUUUUCCUCUCUUCUUGAAUGCAAAAAUAUUUUCUUUCUUUCCUGGUGCAGCUGCCCUUCCCUCCAGAGAAUCCUUUCCUCCUCAAUGGUCCCGUUGACUCUACCAAUAUGGAAAAAAUCCCUCACCGGUCUAGAGAAAACCCGUAAUCUUCCGCAUCAGUCCAACAUGAUUAGAACCCUCCCUUCUGAACCUAGUCUUCAUUCCGUCCAAAUACCCAUUGAACCUUUCCUUUUUCCAUGCCAAAAUAGCUUUGGUAAUUUUCUUUCUUCAUUCAUUUCCUUCCAUCAAAAGCACAAUCAGCACAUGCAUGGGUGCAUACUUGCUCUCUUUCUCAUUUCAUUUCCUUCCAUACGUCCUCUCCUCUUCCAACCACCUUGGAUCUAUCCUUCAACACAUGCAUAUCUUUGCCAAUACAUGUUUUCAACCUUCCCUUUUCUCUCCAGUGAUGAUUCCUUUGGUGAAUUUCUCUACAAAAAUAUAAAGAAAAUUAGACUUAAUGAAUGAAUCCCAAGGUGUUUUAGAAAAUUAUAAAAUAAACAAACAAAUUAAAUUAACAAAAUAAUUAAGUAAAUAAUGAUAAUAAUAAUAAUAAUAGUAAUAAUAAUAAUAAUAAUAAUAAUAAGAACUCAUUUCAUGCAAUUAUAAAAUAAAAUAAAUAAACAAAAAUACAAAUAAUAAUAAUGAUGAAAUAGUAUAAAUAUAUCAAAAACUCACUUAAUCUUAAAAGCAAUCAAUAAAAUAAAUAAAUAAAUAAAACAAGAAAACAAAUCUAAGUGAAACUAAACCUUGAAAAGUGUUUAAGUGGGCCUAAGGCGAUACCUAAUGGGCCAAGUGUGUCUAAUGGGCCAAGUGUGUCUAAUGGGCCUAAGGUGCACUAAGUGAACCUAAAGUGAUGCCUAAUGGGCCAAGUGUACCUAAAUGGGCCUAGGGUACCUAAAUGGGCCUAAAGUGGCUAAAUGGGCCUAAAGUGCCUAAAUGGGCCUAAAGUGAUCUAAGUGGGCCUAAAGUGUCUAAAUGGGCUUAAAGUGAUGCCUAAUAGGCCAAGUAUCUAAAUGGACCUAGGGUGAUGCCUAAUGGGCCAAGUGUGGUGCCUUAGUGGGCCUAAAGUGCCUAAGUCUAAAUUAGAGCUGCCAAAGGUCACAAUAAGAGGUCAAAUCAUCCUUCAACCAUAGUCUCCAAGGUGGCUUAGAAAAUAUAGGCUACACGAGUAUUAACAGGCCACCAGGGAAUUGCUAUAAACGACAUGUGCGAGGAAGACAAAAUAGAGGGUCUACACCCUUAUACGCAUCCCUAAAUCUGUUACAAAAAGGAUUGAGAAAAUCCAAAGAGAUUUCCUUUGGGGGGGGAGGAAGGUUGGAGAGGAAAGCUCAUUUAAUUAAAUGGAAGGUGGUUUGUAGCCCUAAGGAGGAGGGAGGACUAGGCAUCCGAAAAAUAGAUGUAUUGAACAAAGCCUUGCUGGGUAAAUGGGUGUGGAGAUACGCCUAUGAGAAGGAGAAUCUUUGGAAAAGGGUGAUAGGGGUGAAAUAUGGUCAAGAGGGGUGUGGGUGGAGGACUAAGGACGUUUGUGGGCCUUAUGGAGUGGGAUUGUGGAAGGAGAUCAUGAAGGAAGCUGAUUGGUGCUGGGAGAGUAUUGUGUUUAAGGUAGGCAAGGGGACCAGAAUUUUGUUUUGGAUGGACAAGUGGUGCGAUAAUGAGGCCCUUUCUCAAAUUUUCCCCCAGCUGUUUACGUUGGCGGGUAAUAGGAAUGCCAAAGUAAGUGAAGUGUGGGACUCUAGCUUGGGUCAAGGAGGGUGGAAUAUCAGAUUGGCUAGAGAUUUCAAUGAUUGGGAGCUGGAACAGAUAGGAAAUAUGCUGAAUCUGCUGAAGGAUUUCAGGACUUCGACUGAGGAGGAUGCUGUGAGAUGGAAAAGGGAAAGCAAUGGUGUUUUCGGGGCUAAGGGUGCUUACAAAAUUCUGGUUGGGUCCUCAGCUUGUGUCUUCCCGAACAAACGCAUUUGGAUGGAUAAGGUGCCAACAAAAGUAUCUUUUUUUGCUUGGGAAGCUUCGUGGGGGAAGAUCCUCACCUUGGAUAAGCUUCAAAGAAGGGGGUGGCAGCUUCCUAACCGGUGUUUUCUGUGUGGAUGUGAAGAGGAAAGUGCGAAUCAUAUUAUGUUACAUUGUACAGUGGUUAAGACUCUAUGGGAGAUCGCUCUCGCCAUUUUUGGAGUCCAAUGGGUGUUCCCAGAAUCAGUUAUAGAAGUGUUACUUAGUUGGAGGGGAUCUUUUGUGGGGAAAAAAAGAAAAGACACCUGGAAUUCCAUUCCGUUGUGCAUUUUUUGGACGGUUUGGAAGGAAAGGAAUAGGUUAGCGUUUAGGGGGGGGUCUUUAGAUAUACAAAAAUUCAAGAAUUUUUUUGUAUGUAAUUUGUGGAGUUGGGCUAGGGUGUACAUUGGUGAGGAUACCUAUUCUCUUUUAGGCUUUUUGGAGUGGCUUGCGGCCACUUGAGGGUGGGUGAGGUUCUCCCUCUUUUUUGUUCAGUUCCCCUUUUUGGGCAUUUGUGUAUACCCUGUAUACAUGCGGCUUUUUAGCCUUUUCUAAUAUACUCUGAUCGUUUAUCUAUAAAAAAAAAAAUGUUUCAUUCAAUAUGCAUAUUUGAAAAAAAAAAAAAAUUUUGAUUUUUGGGUUCUCACAUGAAUAAAAUUUCAUGACUCUAAAUAAUGAAGUAAUUCUUGAUUCUCAUAUGCUUUGUCAUGAUUAUGAAGAACUGGGAAAUAUAGAUUAAAUUCAUGUAUAUUGAUUUGGACCUUGGUGAAGUCCAACGUUCAAAUCGUUUUUUUUUUUCAAACAAAAAUUUAUUGUCAAUGUUUGCUCGACUCACUGGUUUUUGGAAUAAAAAAACUAGAAUUAAAUGGCUUAGGUUUUCAUAAAAUUAUUUUUAUCUUUAUAUGGUGUUCUUAACUUCUUAAAAUUGUCAAACAAAUUUUAUUUAAGCUAAAAAUCAUUUUUAAUUGGAAGAUUUAAAUUGAUUUUUACAUAGGUUUAGUUUUAAACCUAUUUUGGCCAUUUGAAAUGAUUCUACAAAUUUAAAUUAUUUCUUGAGUUCCAUACUUCUUGCUGAUAUUUUUCUCUUAAUAUACACUUCUUGAAAUUAAUUUUAUGAUUUGUUUUGUUGAAAAUCGAUUCCUUAAGAGGGGAGAACAUAAUUUAUUUUUCUUAUAUCUAUUGCACUAACCUUAUUCUAUAGUCGGGAUUGUUUGGCUUAAUUUAAAAAUCCUUCUUAUGUGAUUAAAUCAUAUUGUUAUUUUUUCUGUAAAAUAAGCAUAUUGAAUAUAUUUAAAAAAAAUUCUCUUGAUUUUACCAUGCUUGUAGAUUAGUCAAAUAAAUUUGUUUUGAAAUGCUAUUGAAAUUUGCUAUAGUUUUUUUUACCAAUGUGCUUGUGAUGAAAUCUGGAACUGAAUGAGAUACAAUUUAAUAAUUUGACCUUUUGAUUUGUUAUUUAGACAUAUUAAAGAUGUUGUCCAAUUUUUUCCAUGACAAAAUUCCACCUCUAGAUAUUUUUUAGGAUUUAUUUUGCAAGCUCCUUUAUUUUGAUUGUAUGUUGAUGGUUUUGUGUAGGGUCCUUAAUAUAAUGAAAUCUAGUAUUGAUUGACAUGUGCUUGAAUAAUUUGGGUUCUUGUAUUGUAAUCUAGACAUGAUAGCUCCGAGAGAUUAGGGAACAACUCGACUACAUCACAUCUUGGAUCCACUCUUAUGGCACUUUGAGUUUUGCCUCUCCCCCACCACCUGACGAUUGAUGAAGAUUGAUGUUUGAUUGUUUUUAAAAAUUAUUUGUAUGUUAUUUUGAUAAAGAUUGAUGUUAGGUUUGUUCUUGUUUCAAAAUGAAAAUUCUUUGGGAUGUUGUUUUAAUGAAGAUUGAUGUUUCAUACAAGUCUAAUGGAAAUAAAGUGGUAAAAUAAUAAUUUAAACAUGUAUAUUAUUUUUUGUAUUGAGAGGAUCGAAUUGCCUCAUGUUGAACAUCAAUUGAAAUCCCACUUAUGAGUGAAAUUUCAUUUCUAUUGAAAUUGUUUUUUUAUUCUAUUUGUAUUCAAGUUAUCCAAUCAAAAGAAUGGAUGGAACGAGGAAUGAGAUUUUCAUUCACACUCUUCAUUUUUUGUAUCAAUUAAACAUGACCUGAAAGUUAAAAUUUUAGUGAAAGCAAGAUUUGGUUUCCCUAUUAACAAAUUUUUUUAUUUGGAAUCCAAUUCUAAAAACCAAUUCAAAGAUAUUAAUGAAUUGGAAAGAAAUUGAUUUCUCAUUCACAUUCUUUAUUCCGAUGUUUUAAUACGUAACUUAGAGUAUAUAUUGAAAUAAGGAUAACAAUAUAAUUAAGAUUUAAUUAUGAAGUCACAUUCAAAUUCCAAUGAACUUGAAUAUUAUCAAUCAUAACUAAAUCUAAUGUGUUAUAACUAUAUUUAUAUAUAUCAUGAGAUAGGAUAAAAGAAUGGAUGAUAUGUGUCUAUCCCAUGUUUGGUUUGUAAUGUGAUAAGAUAAAUUAUCCAAUCCCUUAUCGUACCAUAUGUUCAACUAAAUAUGGAACAAGAUAAGUGGUGAAAUAUAUUAUUUAUAAUUUUUUUAUAUAUUUUUUAUUUUUUUAUAUUACUUAUUUUGUAAAAUAAAAUUUUUUAUUAUAAAAUUAAAUUAGUGAUUGAAAAAGAAGAAUAAAACAAUACUUAUAAUAUAUAUAUAUCAUUUUACAAACUAAAUAUAAGUAUAACAUAUUUCAAUAUUGGAUAUGCUACUUGGUUUUAGUAUCCAUGGAUAUCAUAUCCAAUUGUAUAUCAUAUUUUAGGAUAUGUAUUUUUUCUAUAUAAUGAGAUAUAAUAUCCUAAAAUAUACAUAUAAUAUCCCAUCAACUAAAUAUAACUUGUAUCUUUAUAUAAAUUUAUUGACAAAUUAACAUAUAUUAUAAAAUAUGAGUCCACGUAGAAAACAUAUAUUAUAUAUUAGAAUAUCUCCACCAAAUAAACAUACAUUUAUUUUGCAUCAGAGGGUUUGUGUUCAAAUUUAGUUGCUUAAGUAUACAUGGUCAAACAUAAGUUAAUUGAACUAAAAUUACCUAAUACUAUUUCACAAGUUUUCAGGAACUACACAAGCCAACAUCAAUUACAUGCUACAAAUUAUUAUGCCAAACCAUACUUAAUUUCCAGGAAGAGACGUGUGUCCAAUUAGCUUAUCACUCCAUUAGAUAUUGACUUAACCUUGCAAACGCCUGCUGAUGUUGUGAAAGGCACGUCUUUGUAGAAAGCAAACAGUUGUACGUCAGUGUGCAGGUCCGAUUGCAGUGUUUCCCAUAUCUUUUUCUUGGGGAUGAGAACACGGUCCGGUUUGCCUUCAAAACCAGGAAAUGUCACCCUUUCUCCUACUGAAGCAGAAUGGGGUGGUUCCACCAAUUCAACCUGAAAUAUUCACAAUGGUUUCAGUUCAUUUCUAGUCAAUCGUGUGAUAAUCACUGACAGUUUUCUUGAUUCCAAAGUGGUGGAUAGAAGAGAGAUCAUUUGGUUGCUUAAAUCAAGGAUCGAUUAAGAAGAUUGCUAAACCAAUGGAGGUCAAGUGGCUUACCUUGGUGCCAUUCUUGUCGGAAGCAGUAAGAACCAUUGCUUGUGAAUUGACUCCCCGCAUGGUUGCUGGCUUCAGGUUGCAAAGGACACAGACUUUUCGGUUCUGCGAAGGGUAAUAUUACAUCAUUCAUGAUUCUCAAUCAGCUACAUUCGCUAACCGAAAGAAGCGUGAAGAAAAGGCAAUGGACAUACCAGCAUUUCUUCAAGAGGUACAUGUUUGACAAGGCCACUAACAACGGUUCGGGUUGCUACUUCACCAACAUCUAUCUCUUUCACAUAAAGGGAGUCAGCAUCCGGAUGUUUCUGAGCUUCCUUGAUGAGGCCAACACGGAUAUCAAGUCUAGAAAUUGAAACUUCUGAUUUACAGCUUUUCUUUAUUUGGACUUCUGAUCCAGACUUGGUUGACUUCUGUUUCUUUCCAUUACCAUCUAGAAAAGUAAGAACACCACCAUCAAGUAAAUCCUCUUUGAGUUUUUUUCUUUUCAAUGCCUAGUCUGCGUUCUCCAAAUCAAACAUGGAAACCGCCAUUCUUCAUUGAAUCUCUCCAUCAAUUAAUUUUACAAUGAGAUUCAAUGGAGCUGCAGACAAAUACUAAAGACUACUACUCAAAAAAUUUGGAACAAGAUAUGAAAAUUUCCCUGGUAACAUUUUGCUUUCACAAACUGUAUUCCUUAAUAGUAUUUGAGAUAACAAUAAUUAUAAGUGGUAGUCACAGUAGAAGAAAGAAUGGAAACCUGAAAUUUUUGCUUCCUUCAAUUGUUCAACUAUCUUCUUUGCUUCAGCUUCUGCCUUCACGACCCUAUCUGCUUGACUUCCGGCAAACUUCUCCCUGAAAAACUCCACAUCUUCAUCCCUCUGCACAGAAGAAAAGAAAGAAAGAGAAGGAAAGGAAAGGUCUUGAUGAGUAGUUAGCAGAAUAAAAAGAAAGUACCAAAGCAGAGACAAUGGACAAAAAGAAUGAUGACAGUAAUAAAAUAGCAUAUUUACCAAUUCGUUAAAUAAAGGUUCUGGAGUCCCCAUCUUGUGACCAGCAGGCAGAAGCUCCCAAGGUUUUCUUGCCCUCUCAAGAUCUCCAUUUUCAUCACAAAGAGAAAGCCGUGUUUCAGGAGGCAAAUUGAGCUGCUUUAAUACCUUCAUGUCAUAAAAAACAAACCUGUUAAAGGUAAGCACCCUGUGAUAAUCAUUAGGUAAAUAUUUUGUAGCAAUGUAUACAGUGCAGAGCCUGAUGUUACCUCAAGUGAAAACGAUGGCAUGAAAGGUUCUAACAAACAUGAGAGAAGAUAAACCAGCCCCACUGAAGUUCUCAUAACAAUAGAACAGGAAGCUCGAUCUUCCUUGUAAAGUUUCCAGAAUUGGCUUUCCUAUGGAAAAUUCAGUAUUCAAAUAAUCAUCUUAAUCAAGGAACUUUUUCUUUCUGAUAAGCAUGAAAUAUGACAAACAUAACUGAAACAGUCAAUAAAACCACAUAAAGGGUUUUGCAAGCUUACUUGCAGAUACCCAUUCCCCUCACUGGAGAUGCUCAUUCCAAUUUUCAGUCCUUGCUUUAGUUUAACCUAAUUCACAUAAAAACACCGAAGAGUUCUAUUUUAUAAAUGAAUGCAGAACAUAUUGAGUUUUAGUUGGACAAGUGCUGGGAUUGUAAUUUGACAACUCCAUUAACUUAGAAAUGUUACAUCACCUUCUCCAUAGCUUCUAUAUAUUGCUCUAAGUAUGCGCCAACUUUUUCUGCUAAUGCCUUGGUCAAAUAAUGUGAUUCUGCACCUGGAGCAUCAGGAAUGCUAGACCCAUAUCCUAAUCCUGAACAAAGAAUCAUAACCAAAGCUUUAGGGAAAUAUGAGUUGAGUGAUGACAGGUUCAUGAAAAUUUAGGCCACAUGAAGCUUCUACAGAUGCUACCACCAAAAAGAAUAAAACACAGGAUGAAUACAGUGAACACAAAAAAUUCCUAAAUUAGAUCCUUUGAACAUAUAGAAAAAUCUGUUGUGAUACUAGACAGAUAACUUUUCACAUAAAGAAAUGCAGAGGAUGGUAAACUCCAAGAGAUGAGUUUGCCACUUCUUUCAACAGAUUGUUUCAGUUGAAUCACCCACUUCAAUAUGGUUGUAUAGAAGACCUCAAGCUGUGAACCUGCUUUUGGAUUCAAAAUGCAAUGCCAAAGUUAUGAGUGAGAUUCAUUUUUACAACACAACAAGCAGGAGUCCAAAUUAUGCUGUUGCUGAGGUUCUUUCUGAAUGACCAGAUGCUGGUUCCAAGGUUGAUCUUCAGAACACACUCUCUUCUUUGUGGAGGGUUAUUCUGUAUUCAACAUUUGGGAGACAAGUGAAUCCUUCUUGAUGACUUCAUAACAUUCUGAAAGGGUUUCAAAUUUCAAGAAGAGGGUUGUGGUUCCAAGCUUUGUAGUUGAACGAAUAAAGGAAAAUCUCUUACCAGAUGAGACCGAAUGUUAUUUGAAAGUGAGGGUUAUCUUGGAAAGGAAGUUGGUGAGAGAUCUAUAAAAAUUUGGGAAAAGGUUUAGAAAGAAUGCAAGAAGGAGAUGGAACAAGAGAAGAAUAGAAGAGAGAAACAACGAAGUAGGCUACCACAGGGAUUUCUAAGAAGUAUCACGAAAACAAAUACAAUUUUUACUGGUUUUCAAUUUCUCCUUCCUUUUGGUAUGAUGUUCCUUACACCGAGAAACUCGAAGGGAAAGAGAAGAAUUUGAAACAAAUUAACACAGUAACAGAAUGGGACUCAAAUUUCUCAAAAACAGAACAUUUCUAGCUGUUCCUAAUUGUCAGGUUUGCAACCUGAGAAAACGUUUCAAUUAAACCUCAAAAAGUCGAAAUUUAAGAGAUAAAGCACCAGGCUCCACAAAGUCUUAUCCCUACCUAGUGCAUGCAUCAAAUUCUUUUGUCCAAAGAGGGACUUGACAAUGUAUCUGUAGGUGUGGUAGAUGAGACAUAGUCAUGGAAUUCUUUAGUCCAAACAGGGACUUGGCUAUGUAUCUCUAGAUGUAAUAGAUGAACCUUAGUCAUCUGCCUAUUCUAAGGUCCAUCAAAUUUGCUUGACGACAUUUGGAAAUGUUGAGAAGAAGGAUAUAGACAGAUUGGUUGCAGCGGGGCAAAAGAUUGUUAAUCAAGUAGCUAUUUUCCUCACCGAAAGGGGAAAAUGCUUUGCAGUUAUGUUUGCCCAUGAUUUGGUACCCUUGGCUGCCAUUUUUCACUUUCUGUUUUUUUGGGGGGUGGGUGAGGGAUGAUUCUAUUUUUUGACUCUAGAAAGGACCCCUCUCCUGCUCUUUAUAUUAGGUAUUUUCAUUAAUCACACGUCUUGUGAAUCCUAAAAGUGUAUUAUGUUUGUCCAUGAUUUGGCACAGUUUGUUGUUAGCUUUCAUUUUCUUUCUUCUUUUGAGUACUUUUGGUGAAGGGAUUAUUCUGUCUUGAGUGUAGAAAGGGCUCUCCUUCUAUUCUUCAUAUUAGGUACUUUUCAUGAAUAAAAUGUUCCCAUUUCAAAUAAAAUAAGGACAAAGAAACAGAAUCUAGACCAGGAACUCUAAAUUUUCAUUUCUGCAAGUAUCUGACUAACCUGGAGCUUUGGCGAUGAAGCUCAAUACUCGAUUGAUGAAAUUGCCCAGAUUAUUCAGCAACUCAGUAUUUAGCUUUGCUUGCAAGUCUACCCAUGUAAAUAAUGAGUCUGACACCUAACAAAGAUAAAUCAGUUAAAGAUUCUGAGAGGACAGUCACACAUCCAUAGCCAACAUUAGAUGCUCAACAAAGAACUCACUUCUGGCCUGUUAGUUAGCAAGUAAUAUCGCCACACUUCUGCAGGAAUUUUUGUGUCUUUCACAUCAUUGCCAAAAACUCCUACUCCUUUGCUCUUGGAGAACUUUCCUGCAGCAUCAUACAAAGGAAAGACAAAUCAGAAAAGCCAAAGGAACAUGCUAUCAUGACACGGAGAAUUUCUGACAGGGAUCAAAAUUGAGGAAAGACUGUUGGGCAAUUUUAUAUAGAUGAGAACCAUUUCAGACUGCUAACGAGUACCUGCUUCAUAGUUUAAGUAUUCUGUAACACUAAUGCUCUUCAUCAAUGUCCAGUUUUCUCCAGUUCCAAUAAGUGUAGAUGGGAACAUCACCUGGAAUUAAAAAAUCAAGCAAAGGAUCAUGUGUAGGAACUAAAUCCAACUCCAGUUGUGAUAAAAAGAAAUAAUGAACUGUUUAUUCAGGCAUAGGAGAUGAAGUCUUACAGUGUGGAAUGGCACAUUAUCCUUGCCCAUAAACUGGUACAGAUCCACAUUUUCAGGGUUCUUCCACCACUUUUCCCACUCAGGUGUAUAGCAUGCAGUGAUUGAGACAUAACCAAUUGGUGCAUCAAACCAGACAUAGAAAACCUAUGUAUCAUGUGAUCAGAGUAGUAUAAAUUGUUUUGAACAUUGUUUGCAAAAACCAUAUAGAACAAGAAAUUUCUCUACAGAAAAAGAAGGGGUCAAUUCUACAAAUUAAAUCAAAUGAAAUUAAAUCUUGUCCAACCUUGUCCUUAUAUUUUUCAUGUGGAACAGGAACCCCCCACUUGAGAUCCCUGGUAAUACAGCGGGAUCUAAGUCCUUCUUUAAGCCAUGCAUAUGUAGCUUGGAUAGCAUUUUGGCUCCAGCAUCCUGCAAUGGACAUGUUAUUGAUAUAUUCUUCCAAUUUAUCCUUUAGCAAUGGGAGCUCGAGAAACAAGUGGUCUGUAUCACGGAUUUGUGGACUGGACUGGCAUACCUGUUGAUCAUACAAUCUUUCAAGUGAGGCAGAAAAUUUGAAAAACAACUGGAUGUUUUUUAACCCAGUAGGCAAAUGAAAAUUUUCAAUGAAAUGAAAAAGAUAGUCACACCUUGCAUCUAGGAUCUUUCAGUUCAGUUGGAUUCAAUAGCUUUCCACACUUUUCGCACUGAUCCCCACGAGCAGAGUCAUAAUUACAAUCUAGUGUUGGGCAGGUGCCUUCCACAAGCCGAUCAGCUAAGAAACGUUGACAUGUCUCGCAAUAAAGCUGCAUUAGUAUUGAACCUCAAAUUAAUGAACAGAUGGUGCAGAAUUUACGAAUGAGAAUGCCUUCUUCAUAAACAAAUUUGAUGAUGAAAGUGACAAUUAAUGGAAACCAUAAUAACAUGUAAUUAAGCACAAUGUAACUGUUUUACCUGUUGCAUUCUGUUCUCGGAAAGCCAAUUGUUUUCCAUCAGUUUCUUAAAAAUUGCUUGGCAAACUUCAGUGUGUUGGGGAGUUGAUGUACGCCCAAACUCAUCAAAACUGAUGCCGAACCAAUCGUAAACUUCUUUGUGAAUUUUGUGGUAUCUACAACAGCAGAAAGCAUGAGUUGAAAGGUGAGAAGAGAUGCAAUUCAACCCCAGAUUCCUAAGUUCACUGACCAAGGACAUAUAUACAUAUUUGGAUGAGGAAAGGAAAAUGCCUUUAUCAGCUAUUAACUAAAGUAAGUCAUAAGCAGAAUCUAGUGCCUGACAUGCCUCAAGAUGUGAAAGAUAUUAAACGACUAACAUCUUGCAAAACUCAAGAUGGAACUUUCUUCAAAGAGUGUCCACUACCACAAGGUUGGCCAUCAAUAGAAUAUGCCACAUGAGCAACAGAAAGAAAAUCUUUCACAACUAAAUUAUAGAGAAUCAAAGAAAACAGAUGUGGUGAGCAGUUUACUUGUCACAAAUUUGUUGAGGGGAGCAAUUCUCCUCCAUGGCCUUUGUCUCUGUUGCUGUCCCAUACUCGUCAGUCCCACAUAUGUACAACACAUUGUAGCCGCGAAGGCGGCAGUAACGAGCGAAUACAUCAGCACUUAAAACACCUGGAAAAGGGCCAAGGAAAUAUAGUUAAAAAAAAGGGAAUUUUGAGAAUCCACAAAAGUCUCUCCAGUGAUUAGGUGGAUAACAAGCCAAGAAAAUGGUUAAAAAGGUGCAAGCAAACACAUGAAUGCUAGAUUCCUAAGGUACUAACACAAAAGAGAAUGGCAAAAGCAUGCACAUUUUUCUCUUUUUUCAUAACCUUAUGCUCUGAACAGCUGACAUGAUUUUCGAUAAAAUUAGAAACGAACUCAAAAUUAAGGAACAAGUUUAACUUGAUAUUUUUCACAAUUCAGCUCCAUCGAGGUAAGCCAUUAUUAUUUUCUAACCAUCUUGAGACAGCUCCCUUAUGGUCUUCCUCUAUUCAUUGUGUCGCCUUGUACUUGAAUUAAUUCAUAUCUUACUUAUCAGCGUGUUUUGUCAGACAUGUAUAAACCACCUUAGUUGACUUCCUCCUAUGGACCCCCACUCUUCAGACCUUGACCUGAUCUCCUGAAUAUAUGCAUUCAGUACUUAUUCUACUUUGUGCUGCCGCCUUCAUCCUACAUCCUCUUGUACUAAAAAGAAAAAGUUUUCCAAGUAGCCAAGCACGCAUCAUGACUUGCAAAGAGUAAUUAAGGAAUACCAAAGCAAUUGACUGGAUUGAAUUAUAAGACAAGAAGGAGAGAAG